rnacentral:lncRNA from 1 species
AUCUUCCUAUAAUGACAACAUAUGAGAGCGAUUUUUUUUAUGACCCUAAAAUCCAAGAACAGAAGAACACUCCAGUUUUUUGUAUUUCACAACAUUCUGCAUUUAUGUUGAAACUUUGGAAACAGUCACCUGGGAUUUUGAAUAUGCAGGAAUGGCUGUUCAGUGAUGUAAUUCCCUACCCUUGCAUAGUAUAUCUAUUAACACUGCAUGACCUAAUAUCUGAAGCAUUGUUGAAGAAUAAUAAAUUAUAACAUCCGGUUAAAAAUAUGAAGGGAAAUAUCUCUGUAAUAGUUUCGAAAUGUUCCCGCAGUUUAACACUAACUAAUGUUGCUUUUGUGAGCUUUGUCUACUUUACUUUGUAGCGCACACACUGUUCAGUUAAAGCAAUGUGGCUUUCGGGAGCUUAAUUUGCUCUAAUUUGCUUUGUAGCGCACACACUAUUCAGUAAAACCUAAUGUGGCUUUUGGGAGGUUUGCUCUCUCUUUUGUAUUGUAGGGCACACAUCCUGUUGAGUGAAAACUAAUGUAACAUGUGAUGGGAGCACAACAAUUUUUUGAAGUUGAUUAUUAUUAGGUACAUUUUCUAUGAGUAACCACCACAACAAUAAUGUCUGCACUCCAUAUAUAUAUAUAUAUAUAUAUAUAUAUAUAUAUAGAAGGAUAUGAUCAAAUAAAAACUUUUUAAGUUACAAACUUACAAACUUUUUUUUUUAUUCUCCCAUCGUGUUAAUCUUUAGUUAUAGAAAGUAUUCAUGUUGAAAAUUCUUGAAAAAACAUCACAAUUUUUAAAAAUAACGCAUAAAUAAAUCGCGCAUUGAACACAUUUGUAACUUGAGUUUAACAUCGGGUGUAGAACACUAAUUAUCAUUAUGUUGAAUAUAUCUAUAAAUAUAUUUAAACUAUACCUCUGGGUUUGGGUGGGGUUUAGAAACAUAAAUAUUAGUUAUAUAAUACUUUUAACUUAGUUCUUACAUUCAAAAAUUAGUUUAUGUACUUCUCCAACACAAUUUUAAUCGAUGUUCUACAAAAUAUGCUAAAAAAAUGUUGAACUCAAAUUAAAUAUGUGUUGAAUGCAGAAAAUUUGUAAGUUUGUACUAGAACCCACCCACAUAUAUAUAUAUAUAUAUAUAUAUAUAUAUAUAUAUAUGCGCGCGCGCACACACACACAUAUAUAUAUUCGAAAUGACAUGUCUUGUCUUGACUUAUGUUUUUUUGGAAGUAAUCUAUAUACAUAUAUAGUUGGCCAUGUAUUUUUCAGUCAUGAAAUUGAUACUAAAUUUUUUGAUCUUUUUAUCUUAAAAAUAUUUCUUUCCUUCUCUUUUAUUUUUCAAAUACUUUAAUUCAUAUGUGUAUUGUUGAUGUGAUUUAUCUCUCUUGUAAUACUACCCAUUUACAGUUUGUAAAACUAGUUAUUACUAUUCUAUACUUUUACUACAAUCGGACUAUGGAUAAAAACUUUUCUUGGCCACCUAAGUGGCCAAGAAAAGUUUAAGUGGCCAAGAAAAGUUUUUAUCCAUAGUCCAUAACUGCUGCAACUUCAGUUAUGUUCUAUCCUGAGGAAAUAAUAUCGUUAUCGUCCGCAGGGAGGAUGGCUCUAUACUAAUCUAUGGUGUUCAGAAAGAUAUGGUCUUUAUCUAUAUAUAUAUAUACUGAUAUCUAAGUGUUGUACAUUAAAAAUGAAUUAUCAUUUAGCGAUUAAGUUCUUAUUAUCUAUUUGGCUUAUAUAGAAGAUAUUGCCGAGAUAAUGCUCAUCAGAAGAGAGUGACUGGCCUUGCCUAUUCUAGUGCAUUAAAUAUCCUUUUAUCAUCUGGAUAAGAUGCUCAGGUAAAAUUUCAAAGUGGAAGGCUAAUAGAAGAUAUCAGAUGCAUGGGCACAUUUCUGUCAAGUGUCACCAGGACCAAAGACAUUUGUUGGUUGUACAUGAAAGUUGUAUAGCCACUCGAUCCUGAGGGACCUAAUCUCGAGCCCUGCAAGCAGGUAUCUACAAAUUAUUUGCAGUGUUGACAAUCAAUUUAUAUGCUUUGUUGAAUAUCACAACAUGCUUAAUUCACCCAUGCUUUAUUAGACUUUAUUUGAAAGAGGUUGGGGUGAUCAUUUUGGGUGUAACUAUAAUGUGUAUUAAUAAUCAAGCACAUCACAAAUAUAUAUUAAUUGUGUGGGUACAUACAUACCUACAUGAACACAAUCAUAUUCGACAGAACUUGACAUUGAUUUUUCUAAAAUAGUCCCUGGUGCAAUAUCAUGUCACUCUGCUAAUGAGAGAUCUAAGUUCUUAAUGACAGAAGAAAAUUCUCAAGCUCUUUAAAUAUUUCUUGCAGUAGAUUCCGGGGGAAUUGAUCAGUGAUGCUGCAUAUAUAUUCCUGUGAUGACCAGUCCAUAUAUGCCUGCUUUCUUAACAGGCACAUUGUUUUCUUGGACUCGGCAUCUUUGACCAUAAAAUUUUUUAUCAAUCCGAGUGCAUAUUUUACCUUCUAAUUAAAGGUACGUGUUAUUUUUGAUUAAAAUGUAUCCUGAAAAUAUGAGCUUAUUAGCGAUAACACCCUCUUGACUGGAAGCUGCCUUCUGUAUUAUAUCUAUAGCCGGGUGAUGUAUGCUUCUACUCUUGCGGCUAAUCCUACAAAACACAAUCAGUUUGCUCUCGGGCUUAGUUAUGGUGGCGUACUAGUUAUAGAACUUGAGGAAGAGGAUAUUGGGGUUGGCAUUGUAGCACGCCUUAGCUUGAGACCAGCAACAACUGAGAACUUGAUAUGAGUUUUUGUUGUUGGAUAGUUGAUUCAAAUAUUAGUAGCUAUUAUUAAGCAGCAUGUGUAUGUUUUAUCAGUUAAAUAAAAGGAUAGACAUGUAGUAGUAUGUGGCAGUUACUGGAAGUUUAUUUAGGAAGUUAAGAAUAGGGUAGUUUCUUUGCCUAGUUAGUUAUCUAUUUCAAUCUGCAUAUUUAUGUGCAAUGCUGUGUAUUCAGUUUAGUUAAUGAGAGUUAUCUAUGUUCUUGUGUCUCUCAUAUUCUGAACGUGGUACAGCAAGAUUGAUGCAUUCUUUCAUGAAAGCGGUUUCAUUAGAAGUGAGAAUGAACCUACACUAUACAUGAAACGUCAAAGUGAUGGAGAAUUUCUGGUGGUUUGCUUAUAUGUUGAUGAUAUGAUAUAUAUGGGUACCUGCGAGACAAUUAUCACUGAGUUCAGGUCAAGGAUGAGGGCUAAGUUUGAGAUGACUGAUUUGGGUCUCCUUCAAUAUUUUUUGGGUCUUGAAGUGAAGCAAAAUGAAGAAGGAAUUUUUGUUUGUCAGAAAAAAUUUGCUACUGAUUUGUUGAAGAAAUUUAAUAUGAGUACUUUAGUUAAUGGGAGUUAUCUAUGUUCUUGUGUCUCUCAUAUUCUGAAAGUUUAGUCGUUUACAUAUGUGAUAAUCAGAGCCCAGUGUCUCUUGAAAUUUAUAUGUUUUAAAACAUACAUCUAGGGAUUGGAUUAGUGCAAGAGUGCUAAAGUUUUUUUUUGCUUGACGAUGUUAAGUGAUAAAUGUUCAAUGCAAAUAUACACGUAGUGCAGAAUCUGAAAUGAGAAUUAUCAAUAGAGUAUGAAAAUGAGAAAAGAAAGCCAAUAUUUUGGCAUAUACAAUGUUUCACUCAUACAGCCCGUAAUUUUCAAUGCAAAUAUACAUGUACCUGCCCAAUUUCAAAAGAGAAUUAUCAAAACAAAUAUGCAAAUAUACAUGCUUGACUAUGUUAAUUGAAUUUUUUUAAUUCGAAUAUACAUGUAGAAGCAGAAUAUGAAAUAAGAACUGUCAACAUAGUAUGAAAUAUGAAAAUAAUAGAAGAAACUCAAUAUUCUGGUAUUCGGAGUGUCUGACACAACACAUUUUCGAGUAUCGGAUUUGGCAUUAUCAAAAAUUCCGGACACAGUUACAAUGUCCAAAUUAAUUUUGGACAUGGAUACAAGGACGCAGUGAAUUUUAAUAUAAUUAUUUAUUUUCAUUUGAGAAAUAAAAAAAAUAUUGCAUUAUUUUUCAGUUGAAAAUGUGCAAUUGAUUGAUUUAUAAAAUCCAAAAAUUAACAACUAUAACAAAUGUAUUUAACAUUUUUCUUGCCAAUAUUCAUGUAAAGCAAAAAUUAUGCACACCAAAGUAAAAGAAAGAAAAAAGGGAAACAACUAGAUAAUGAAUGGGGACUUAAAGAUGUCCAGAUACAUUUGUAAUAUAUAAUACAUCUCAAUACAAGUAUUCCUCUAUCUUUUCACCCUUUUACUAUCAUCUUCUUCAUCUUCUCAUUUUCACCACUUCUCAUCUUCUUCUUCCUGUUCCCCCAUCUUUCAUAACAUCGCUUCUUACACAAUUUCUUUCGUAAUUCUCAACGAUCUUUGAUUUUGAUUUCUCUGGUAACCAUCGACUUUUCCGAUGAUGAAUGGGCGGUAUAGAGCUUUCAACAAAGCAGUCCGGCCUCUAUCCUGUUUCUUGUCUUGUGUCGUGCCGUGUCGACACGGGUACGCUGAACGAAAUAGACGAGUCGGAGUAACACAGCUAAACAAUGAAGAAAAUGCUUCAAAACUUGUGGUAAGAAUGUGAGAGUAUUUAAUUAUAUGAAAUCUUGAUAAUUAAAGGCCGGACUGUAUAUGAUCUAACAACUCUUGAAUGUCAUGAGGCUGAUCAAGUGCCCCCUUAUUUCAAUAAUCCAAUGAUACUCUUUGGUAUCUAUGCUCCUUAUUUUAUCUGUCCUAUAAAAUAGGCGUUUCAUUCAGUUACUAAUUCUGCACCUAUACUAAUCUAUGAUGUUCAGAAAGAUAUGGUCUAUAUAUACUAGUCUAUGGUGUUCAGAAAGAUAUGGUCUAUACUAGUCUAUGGUGUUCAGAAAGAUAUGGUCUUUAUCUAUACUGAUAUCUAAAGUGUUGUGUAUUAAAAUAAAUUAUGAUUUAGUUAUUAAGUUCUUAUUAUCUAUUUGGCGUAUAUAGAUGAUUGCCGAGAUACAUGCUCAUCAGAAGAGAGUGACUGGCCUUGCCUAUUCCAGUGCAUUAAACAUCCUUUUAUCGUCUGGAUAUGAUGCUCAGGUGCAUUUUUAAACUGGAAGGCUUUUAGAAGAUAUCAGAUCCAAAGUCACAUGACGCUAAUAAUCCUUUUGGUUUUUGCAGAUCUGUGCUUGGAACAGAUUUGGAUAGAAAUACCAGUCUAGUAAUUUCAUGAAUGAUCAUGGAAAUGCUUUGUCUCCCCGGCACAAUUCUGUCAAGUUUCACCAGGACGAAAGACAUAUGUUUGUUGUACAUGAAAGUUGUCUAGCCACUCUGGAGGGGCCUAACCUCGAGCCCUGCAAGCAGGUGUCUGCAAAUUAUUUGCAGUGUUGACAAUGAAUUUAUAUGCUUUGUUAAGUAUCACAACAUGCUUCACCACCCUUUAUUAGACCAUAUUUGAAAGAGGUCAGGGUGUUCAUUUUGGGUGCAACUAUAAUGUGAAUUAAUGAUCAAGCACAGAACAAAUAAAUAUUAAUUGUGUGUGUACACAUAUACCUACAUGAACACAAUCAUAUUCGACAGAACUUGAUAUUGGUUUUUCUUAAAUUGCCCCCUGGUGCAAUAUCAUGUCGCUCUGCUACUGAGAUUAAAAAGUUUUUAAUGACAGAAAAAAUUCUCAAACUCCUUAAGUAUUGUUUGCAGUGGAUUCCCGGGGAAUUGAUCGUCGGUGAUGCUGCAUAUUCAUGUGACGGCCAGUCCAUAUAUGCCUGCCUUUUAAAAAGGCACAUUGUUUUCUUGGACUCGGCAUCAUUUACCCUCUUGACUGGAAGUUGCCUUCUGUAUUACAUCUACGGCCAGGUGAUGUAUGCUUCUACUCUUGCGGCUGAUCCUACAAAACACAAUCAGUUUGCUCUCGGGCUUAGUAAAGGUGGCGUACUAGUUAUCGAAGAAGAGGAUACUGGGAUUGCUUUGUAGCACGCCUUAGCUUGAGACCAGCAACAACUGAGAACUUGAUAUGAGCUUUUGUGAUAAUCAGAGUCUAGUGACUCUUGAAAUCUAUAUGUUUUAAAACAUACAUCUAGGUAUUGGAUUAGUGCAAGGGUUUUGAAGGUGUUUUCUUACUUGACUAUGUUAAGUGAUAAAUUUUCAAAGCAAAUAUACAUGUACGUGUAGAAAUUGGAAUGAGAACUGUCAACAGAGUAUGAAAAUAAGAAACAAAACCAAUAUUUUGGCAUAUACGAUGUUCCACUUACAAAGCAUGUAACAUUCAAUGCAAAUAAACAUGUAGCCACCCAAUUUGAAAAGAGAAUUGAUGUCAACACAACAUAUAUGAAAAUAAUAAAAGAAACCCAAUAUUUUUGCUUGACUAUGUUAACCCAUAAAUUUUUAAUGCAAAUAUAUAUGUAGCCACACAAUUUGAAAUGCGAACUUGUCAUCAUCAGAGUAUGAAAAUAUUAAAAUAAUAAAAUAAUAAAAGAAACUCAAUAUUUUGGCAUAUAUAUACAAAAUUUCACUCAAAAAAUUUGUAAUUAGCAGCUAGUAUCCAGCUCUUUGGUAUAAAUUGUAGGCCCACUAUCACCCUCAAGUCCAGCAUACACAACACCCUUUUAGAUGUAUAAAAAAUACCAUCACUUAACCGGCCUCAAAAUGGAUCAGUUCUGAUCCGAGUCUAAUUUGAAUAUUCAUGAAUUGAUCUCAAAAUAAUUUCAUUCGCAAAUAUAAUGGAUUAUUUAUUGGAUUAAAUAUGGAUUUAGGUCAAUCGGACCGGUCUAUGAUCCAACCCCAUCAUUAUAUGUAUAUAUAAAAUAAUAUUAAUAUAAUAUUUAAUACUUAUAUACUCAAUAUGUUAUUCCCGUCCUAUUUUUGCACGUUUUUAAUGAAAAUAAAACAUUUAGAAAAAAUGUUAGUGGAAUAUUUAUAAUUCUAUCUUAAAAUGAUAGUUUUGUUUCGACUUAACUUAGUUAAACUAAUAAUUUUAAUUAACAAUUUUUUGGGGCUGUUUGUUUCGUAGAAGCAGAAGCUGCUUCUGACUUCUGCUUCUCUUGACCCGUUAAUGUAAAUAAGUAGAAGCAUUUUAAGAAGCUGAGAAUGCUAGCUUCUCUCUUACAGCUUCCACUUCUUUUCCAAACAUUUUAUUAACUUAUUUAAUUUUCAUUUCUACUCCACUUCUUUAGUUUAAGUAAGAAGUCACAUCUUUUAAGCUAACCCAAACGGUCCCUAUAUAUUAUAUAACUUCAAAACUUUUUGAUAUGGCCCUGUUUGGGGCUUAGCUGAUAGCGGAUUGAAUUAGAUGUUUUGAUUAGCGGAUUGAAAUAGAUAUUUUGACUAGCGGAUUAUAUUAGCUGUUUCUUGUAAAACUGUUUGGUAAAUAGCUGAUUGAUCAGCUUUUUCUGACACAAACCAAAAUCUCUAACCUAAAAAGCUCCUUAAAGUAGCUUUUUCAAAAUUAGCUUUUUGGGUCCAAACCUCUAUUUCAAUCCGCUAACUACCAAACACUUAUAUUAGCGGAUUCUAGUGGUCAAAUCUCUAAACCACCCCAAACCUCUAAUUUUGCCCCAAACCUCUAACUUCCAAACAGGGCCUAUAUAUAUAUAUAAUAUAUAUAUAUAUAUAUAUAUAUAUAUAUAUAUAUAUAUAUAUAUGUAUAUAUAUAUAUUUAAAUGUUACUAAAUAUUGAUGAAGAAUAUUUAUGCAAGAUAUUUGAAACAUCAUAAUGACCCAUAAUAUUGGCACAUGAGACAAAAAAACAUCAAAAUAAAUCGUAAAUUAACAAAGUCUAAUGCCUAAACAUACUAAAUUAGAUCAAGAUAUAUUCCUAUCGAAAAAUAACCAAAUAAGGUAUAAUACAACCGUUUAAUGACAAAUAAAGGAAUAAGCUGAUUACUUCCACUUUUUAAAAAUAUUGCACAUAAAUAUACAUACAAAUAAUAUAAAAACAAAGUCAUAAUUAAAAAACCGAUAUUCAAAUCAUAACAAAUUAGUCAUCAAUAAAAACAUGCACCUAAAAACAUUUUAAAAUUAAAAACUUAUAAUAUAGUAGAUCAAACCAGACACUUAACAUACCCACACAAUCAAGAACGCCAAGAACUCAUAUCGAAAUCUAUAACAAACCUAAUUUCAAAUCAAUAUUCCGGCCGAGCAUAGCAAAUCCAACUAAGACAAAACAUUUCAAAAAAAUACCGGGAAAAAAGUUACAUAACUCGACCUGAUCUAAAAAGUAAUCCAAACAAAAUUACCAAGCCAGAUACAAAUCCAUGUUUUCGGUUACCUAAACAAUCUAUACAACCUUAAAAUUAGAAGAGGAAUGGGGUAAAUUGAUUACUAUGAUGCAAAUAUGCUAUCAUAAUAUAAACAAAACAAACAAAACAAUCAAACAAAAUACAUAAAAAACAUACAUCCAUGAUUGCAACAAGAUAAUCGAGAAAAAAACGUACCUUUUCAAAGGGAUGAGGAUAUCUUGAUUACAUAUAAAAUUGGCAGAAUAAACUUAUUGAAUCCAAAAAUAAAGUUCAUAAAAUCGCCAUCAACAAAAUCAUCUUUUUGAUCGAUCAAGAAUUUUUAUGUAAGAACAGUUGUUAGUUGCCUUGUUAUCGGAUUCUCAAUUUAUUUACCUGACACCAAAACCACAAAUAUGAUUUUUGAAACUUGACCACCUCCACUAAAGAUGAAUGAGUAGCGUCAAUGAACCCCUCGGUGUGUGACACUUUCACUACUAGAAAAGCGGGCAUUUCCGACCGACUUACCGACCAAACGCGAUCAGUCGUAAAAAAUUGCGUCAUUUACGACCGCCAUUACCGACCGCACCAAAUCGGUCGGUUAUAAUGGGCGUGGGUCCCGCUCACCACCGUUCCUUCAGCUGACAUGGACGCCACGUCGGUAAAACCGACCGACCCAUUUCCGACCGCCUGUGGUCAUUUCCGACCACCUUGACUAGUUUAAAAUAAUUGGUCAGCUUUUAACUUGUUGUCGACUUGUUAUUGGCUAAGUGGGGACGAGGUGGAGCCCAGAUUAUUUCCGACCGAUUUUGGCAGUCGAAAAUGGCCUUCUUCAUUUCCGACCGAAUUAAAACCCGGGCGGUCGGUUUUGACUUCUUAAAAAAACAAUAAAUUCUAUUCGACUAAGUAAACUAUUUAAAAAAAACUAAAAACAUUGUACAUCCGGAAAAUCGACCACAUUCAAUAUAUUUCCGACCAAACUCAUAAUUUUAACACAGAAAACCGACCAAAUUUAACUCAUUUCCGACCACAAACUCAAGUGCGGAAAACCGACCAUUUCGUUAUGUCAUUUCCGACUGAUUUACUACUAUGGCGGUCGGUUUUGAGACAAAAAAAAUUAUCCGGCUAAGUAAACUUAAAAAAAAAAUUUAAAAAAAUUGAAACUAGCUUUUAGUCAGUUAAUAAAUUAAUAGAAUAAUAUUCAUCAGUUAAUAUUUGAUUUUUAAAAUUUUUGUAUUUCUAUAACAAAAAAUAAAUACUGACUAACUGAUUUCAAAUUAAUUUUUCAAACAGCAGAAAAAUGUAGAAUCUUUGUGAUAUGGUCUAAUUUAAGGUACUAAUCAUGAUAGCAAAAGAAGAAAAAUAUAAAAAAAAUUAUAAAAACACUAUUCUGUUACGAAUCAUGCAUUGCAGUAAAUGUCGGAGUUCAGGAUUUGGAUUUUAUCAGAAGUUAUCCUAGGUUGUAUACUUUUGAAAUAUCAAUUUGUUUUUUAGGAGAUCCAACCGUACGGAUCGAAAUUAAGUAGUCAUAGUAGUUGUAUACCAAAAAUCAAAUCAAUAGGAUUUUAUCCGCUGAGAUAUUAUAACGAAAAUAUUAUGUUAUACUUAAAUAUAGACGUAGGGGUAACUUUUUAGAAAAUAAUAAAUUUGUUUUUUAGGCGAUCUAACCGUACGGAUCGUAAAUUAAGUACUCAUUGUAGUUAUAUACCAAAAAUCAAGUCAAUAGGAUUUAAUCUGUUGAGAUAUUAUAGCGAAAAUGUUAUGUUAUUCUUUAAUAUGGAUGUAGGGUUAUUUUUUUUUUUAAAAAUAAAUUUGUUUUUUAGGCGAUCCAACCUUACGGAUCGUAAAUUAAGUACUCAUCGUAGUUAUAUACCAAAAUUCAAGUCAAUAGAAUUUUAUUUUUUGACAUAUUAUAGCGAAAAUAUUAGGUUAUAGUACUUAAAUAUUGACGGAGGGUUAUUUUUUUUAAAAAAUAAAUAACUUAUUUAAAUAAUCCAACCGUACGGAUAUGAAUAUAAUUACUCAACUUAUAUUGGUCCUUAAAAUCAAUAGUUUUGAACAUUAGUUAAAGGAAUAUUAUAAUGAAAAAUUGAUUUUCUAGUUAUUUAAUUUUGUAAAAUAGAUGUAGGUUUAUAUUUAAGUUCCAUUAUUUUUAUAACAAUGUUGUAGCUGGUCAGGUGGUUGAACACUCCACGCAAUCAACGCCCUCUCCCAUCUCUCUCUCUUUGUACUAUGCUCAUUUUAGGGUUUCGUAUCUCUCUGUAUAUCAUCAGUUAGGGUUUUGAUUUUUUAUGGCUCAAAUUUGUUCAAAGAUGCUUUAAUCUGGUUUAUAUAUGUUUAUAUGUCCUUUAAUCCGGCUCUAUUUUAGUUGUCUUAGUUGUUUGAUCUGUUUUAUGAGAUUUUGUGUAAAUUAGUUUGUGUUUGUGUUUUUGUUUGGGUAAAGUAUAGCAAAUUAGCUUGUGUUUGUGUUUGUAAAAUGCCUAUGCAUGAAUUUUCUGGGUUUAUCCGUUAGGGUUUUGAUUUUCUUAUGCUCAGUGGUUUGGAUUUUCUGUCUUUGUGUUUGGUUAUUAAGUCUGGUUUAUUGUGCAAGCACCCCUGCAUAAGUCUGGUGUUAUUAAGUUUGUGAUUCCGUUAAAUGAUCAGAAAUGGUUGCGCGUUGUCUAGUACGUACAUUUUGAGUCCUUGCUAAAGUCACCAAUGUCAUUACACAAGCGACUGAGGUAACAUCAUUAAGAAGCAUCAGGCAUAUAAUGUUUAACAAACUGGCUUUACUCCUGUCUGCACUACCCAUCUAGCAGCAGAUUCAGUUAAAGAUUCAACGCUGACUCAAAAUCUUUAGACAAGAAUUCAAUCCUGCAAGUGGAAAACAAAAUCUAUAAACAUGACUUAAAAUAAACCAAAGCUCUCACUUCCCACUAAUUAAGUCUAGACCAUACAUUUUCGGAUAUUUAAUCCCACUUCUCUUACGUACCUUCUCAACUUGCAACCUGAAUUGGUGAGAAAGAGAAUGAUUUCUUUCUUUAUUAUUAUUUAUAUAUAUAUACUACUUUUCUAGGUGUUAACUCAGGUUACAAGGCCUGAGAUUAUUCGUAUAUCGUAAAUGAAAUUUUGUAUCAAAUUAGAUACAUUUUCCUGGUCUUAGAGACACAGAGUUAGCAUAAUCUUGGACUUGUUUUUUAUGUAAUUGGCUGGUUUUAGUUUGGAGCAUUUUAUAUAACAUGCUUGGAUGGUACUGUAUCCUCCAGCUUACGAUACUUUCAAGAGUUUCCUCCUUUUAAUGAGACAAAUGGCUAUGCCGCGCAAUACAUUCAGUAUAAGUUUCUUUGUUAAGAACUUAAGAUGCUUCUUACUUGACCCCUGUUUUUUUGUUCAUCAAUAUUAGAAUAAUGCUUAUUUCUGCAGGUUGCAUUUUUGUAGUUCCUAACCUUUUUAUCUAUAAAAAUCUAUGUUAUUUUUAAAGGUUCCAGUGCCUUGCUAAACCUUGAACUGUUGUCAUUCUGAUAAAUAUGUUUAUCAUUCUACUGACAUUAAUUUUACUUAGAAAAGUGAUAGCUCCUUCUUGUAUAAAGGAGGAAUGUUACAACUCACCAUGAGAAGGAUGCUGGCUCUUUCCAUGAUUGCAACGGUUACCAAAACAAGUUCUUAACAGUAAUAACUAUUAAACUUAUAUGUAAUAAUAGUAAAACAUUUACAGCCAGCGCCCUGUUAUUAUAUAUUCUUAACAUGGUGACAUGCUACUCUAGAUAGAAUUAAUAAUCUUCAGAUUAUUACUGCAGAAUCUCAAAAGUAUUUCAUCACUGUCAGUUUGCUACUCUAGAUAGAAUUAGUUGGCUAAGGCUUUCAGUCUCAAGGUGGCUAUCGCAUUAAUGGUUAUAGAAUAUAGAUGCAUCAACUGUAGAGCUAGUGUGCCACGGUUUGGUAAAUGAGCAGGCACAGAUUCCGGUGCCUUUCCGACAUCUAUAUUAAGUAUCUAUAUUGAUUAUUAAGUAUCUAUAUUGUCACAUCAACGAUGUGCCAGAAGUUAGAACGACUUUAAAAUAGAGGGAGUAUAGCUUCAAAAUUUUGUUAGGGGCGACAUGCUGAUAUUUAAAGCCUUGUUUAAUCACAGGGAUGCUGCCCAAGUGGCUCUGCGCUGGAAUGUAGCUUUGCUUGAUAAGUUUCCCAUUCAUGAUAGGAGAAAAUACUAGAUUCUGGUUUGUGCAAUAAGUUGUGAUAACUUGUGGGGAACCUGAUAAGAGAAUAUGGUGAAACCUGAUAAGAGAAUAUGGUGAAACUUGAUUGUUGUAUACUUGUAUCUCUUGCACAGUGGCAUUUAUCUGUUGCUAUGAAUUUCUGUUAUUAAUAAGUGAAUUUCCCGUGUCCUUCAAAUAUUUGCCCAAAUUAUUUUAAUUUUGUUGAUUAUAUAUUCCGUGUUAAGAUAAAUAAUAUUUGAUUUGGAGCAAGUCAAUUUGAUUAAUAUGUAUUUUCUGCAUUCACAUAAUGGUACUACUGUUGAUUCUGAAAUCAUUUAAUUAAAUCACAAGUGAAAUUAGUGAAUUUUUCUUAACUCUUAGGACAGCCGGGAUAAUUAUGUUAUUACUUACUAUACUUGAUAGUUGUCUUGUGAAAAUCUGUGAUACUAAUGAAACUAACAUAUAUGUCAUUGGCUAAGUUGACUAACUAUAUAUAUCAUUGUUCAUGUAUAGGCUAUGGUGCCAAAAAAAGACAAAGGUAAAAAGAAAAUGGCUAUUUCUCAAGGUAGUACGACUCGUGGUAAGAAACGCCGCAAUUCUACAACUCAAGCUGAAAGUCAGACUCCAUUUGUUCGCUUGAUCCGCAGGCCCAGAACUGCUUCGAUGGGAAGGUUUGGGGAAGAGCUGCCGAGAAAACCUACCCGUAUUGACAUUCAUGGCGGGCGGUAAUUUCACUUAAUCAUUUCAUUUGUAUCUAGUUAGAGUUAUACUUGCUUUCUAUUGUAUUAUUUUUGGAUUUCGUCUUAAGAUUUCUUUAUCAUUAAUUGUAUAGUAUCUUUGGUGACGAAGCAAAAAAGACUUUGCUUGCAAUACUUCGUGAUCACUGGCCUGUUGGAUCGUACACCUAUACUGAUAUUAUGGCAAAAAACCCGGAUUGGAUGGACGAUGUUGUAACUGUGUUUAAGGUAUAUGUAUAUAUGUACCUUAAUUUUCUACUCUUUACAUCCUAUAUAUAUAUAUGUGUGUGUGUGCGUAUAUUCCUUGUAUGUGUGUGUGUAUAUAUAUAUAUAUAUAAUUGACAUGUUCUUUAUCUCUCUUCAGCACUUCUACAAAAAUUUGAGGGGACAGAGUCGAACUGAGGCCACUUGGAGUAUCAAGGAGCAUGCGAAGAGAACAUGUAAGAAAAUGAUGAAUGAGGAGAAGCGGCGUUUUGUGAAAAAAAAGAAGGAAACUGGGAGGUCAGCAAAAGAGCUGAGGCCGAAGUAUUUUCAAGCCCCUCUAUGGGAAAACUUGUUGAAGUACUGGGAUAGUGAAGGUCACAGGCAUCGGUCCGAGGUUGGAGCAAAGAAUUGAGAAAAAGUGGAGACCUUGCACACUGCAGGUGCAAAAUCAUUUGAAGUUGUCGAAAUGGUAAUUCAAAACUUAUUAAAUGUAGAAUUUUACAAGUAAUCAAGUGCAGUUUUAUUUCUUAAUGAAUUAAUAUUAAUGCUACAUAUGCUUAAUUAAUUGACUAAUAAAUCAAAAAUGUUGGAUCAAAUGUGGUUGAUUUUAUUCCCUUAAUUUGUUGUUAGGAAAUGAUGGCAGAGAAAAAAGGGAAGAAACCGAAACGCCUCGAGUUGUGGGAAAGGACACACACAACUAAAGCUUCGAGGAAGGCGAGGGAGGAAAGCAAGGGAAAGAAAUGCCCACCUUUAGUGUAUACUACACCAGGGGCAAUGGAAAUAGCGGUUAGUAUAUAUUUUAAAUUUAGUUUACAUUUUAAACACUAAUUUUUUUUACGAACGUCAACUAGAUAGUAAUGGUAUAUUUGAAAUAAAAAAAGACUUUACUAAUUAAAAAGAAUAACCUUGAUCAUAUAUAUCUAGUUAUAAGAUUGCUUAAUUUGUGUGUGUGUAUAUAUAUAUAUAUAUAUAUAUAUAUAUAUAUGAAUACGUAAUUAUCUUUACUUUUUUUUUUCUUGUAGUGCUUUUUAUAACAAAGAAUAAUGAGAAAACAACAUUUGGGUUCUGGUCAUCUAGCAUGGACUAGAAUUGGGAGAAUAUAUCCAAAUCCAUCAUCUUUGUAUGAGUUUUAAAAUCAUAUAUUAUUUUGAAUAAAUUAUUAGUGUAAUUUAAUUUUGAAUAUAUCAUCCUAAAAACUUGUAAUAUGUAAGUUUCCCUAGUCUUUAUUGAUCUUAAUGUAGUUAGAUCUCAUUAUUGCAUCUUACGUGUUCUCUUUGCUCAUAUGAGCUUAUGUAUCAUUAGUGUCAAUGUAUUUGAACUCAUUUUUGUAGGUUAUGUAUUACAAUGCUGAUGUGAACUUAUUUAUUAUUUUAAUUCACACGAGUCAACAUGUUUGACUUUCCCUUUUAUUUAUUUUACCACGCUCCUCUAAUUUGUCUUUUUAAGUUUAUAUGACGUCAGUGCUGCUAAUUACCUAAAGUGCUAAUUACCUAAAAAUUAUGGGUGGUAAUGCUCGGAUUUCCAAUGAUAUAAUUUAAAUGCAUUCAAAAAUUUGUACAAUUUUAUGUAGAUAGUGUAUUUACGUCUUAUAGGUAUUUUGAAAUCCUAAUUAUUGAAGAAAUUUUAAGGAUAGUGUUUCUACCUUAUACACAUUUGUGUAAUUUUAAGGAUAAAGAUGGCCACAUAAUUGAUUGUUUAGUAUACUUUUCAAAUGAAAUUAUUAUGUUCACACAAUUUAGAAUUGUAGUUCUUACUUUUUAUAUAUUUUUAAGUGGCCUUAUUACAUAUUGCAUAUUAGAGUCAAAAACAUGAACUAAGUGUGCACACUUUCCUCUUUUGUUAUUUAGUUCCUCAUUUAAAUAUUUAUUUUAAGGAUAGUGUUUCUACCUUAUACACAUUUGUGUAAUUUUAAGGAUAAAGAUGGCCACAUAAUUGAUUGUUUAGUAUACUUUUCAAAUGAAAUUAUUAUGUUCACACAAUUUAGAAUUGUAGUUCUUACUUUUUAUAUAUUUUUAAGUGGCCUUAUUACAUAUUGCAUAUUAGAGUCAAAAACAUGAACUAAGUGUGCACACUUUCCUCUUUUGUUAUUUAGUUCCUCAUUUAAAUAUUUGUCUUAUCUGAGCGUAUUUCUUUUUAAAGUCUCCCCUAAUUGUUCAUCAUUUAUUACUGGUGUAUGUUAUGAAUAACUUACAUUUGAUCUUAAAAGUUUAUUUUUCGUUAUGUAUAUCACAAUUUUAAUUAGACAUUAAUUUAUUGAUGUAGCGAUGAAUUUUUAUGUCAUUCUAUAAAUACAUGGUACAUGAGUUAGAGCUACUUGAACUCUUUUCGAUAUGAGGUUGCUAAUCAAAUUCUUAAGCUUGUUCCAAAUAUGGAGGUGGUUAUAGGUAUUCAUCUAAAUCUCAACAUUAAUAUUUCAUCAAUUUCUUUGACUUAAAUUUUGAUUGAUGUUAAAUGGAUAACUUUUAAACAAUCCUUGGUAAUCCUUGCGAGAUAUCAACAUUACCGAAUGUCAUAAUGGAUAUAUCUCAAUUUGGAAAAAAAGAUGUCAUAGGUAAAACAUAUAUGGAAAAUUAUCACAAUGGUACCCUAAGAAUCAUUUUUCACAAAUAAGCUUUUAUAUUUUAUCUACAACUAUCGAUCUAUUUUCUUUUCAGGAAAUUUAUUACAAUGCUACUCAAUAGGAUUAUUUAUGAAAAUUUUGUUCAUUCUUUGAGGCACGCAAAUGCUUUCGCGGCACGCAAAUGUUGUCAAUGUGCAUAUUAUUAUAAUUGCUUCAUAUGGUGAUGUCUCUCAUUAAUUGGUUGCCCAAAAACAAUAUUGAAGCAACAUAGGUUUAGUUUGUGAUAUUCUGUUUUGUGUAUGUAAAUCACUUACUAUAUACCGGUCAUUCUUGGAUGUAUCUUGUAUUUACAUGUAAACUUUUGUAGUAAGAAUGUUAUCAUGGCUCAAUUAUUCAUUAUUUCAUUUAUUUCCUAGUGGAAUAUUGUAGAUACUAUGUGGUCAGUGUCAUUUUUAUGCUAAUAUUUAAAUACAAAAUUAAAAUCAUGUUUACAAUAUGAAUAUCACAUUAGGCUAUAGUAGAAAAUAAUUGAAUGACAUAUACAACAUGUGAGCUACUUGCAUAAGAUAUCGAUUAAAAGACCGGUUUCAUUUGGAACAUACUAGCCAAUUUAUUUCAAUAAGUGAACGCAGCUUGAUGGGACAGCCAACUAUAGAGUUGGAAACAUUACUCAUCAUUCUUUUUAUAUUAUUUAGGUUAUCUUUUAUAUAUACUGGAGGUACCUUAAAUGAAUUUUCACAUAUAUAAGGUAUUAUUUUUACCUAAAAGAGAUUAUAAUUUUUUUUAUAUUUCUCUUUAAAUUUCCAAUCAUGGUAUUGUUUCUACCUAAAAGAGAUUAUAAUUUUUAUAUAUUUCUCUUUCGAAGUUCCAAUCAUUAAACAUUUGAUAAAUAAGGGAACAUCUAUUGACAUGUAACACCUCAGUUCCACAUGGAAGAGUGUGGAGAUUUGAUUUUAGUUGAGUUUAUAAGCAUAAGCACCUCUGGACUCUUGCCAUUGUGGGAUAGUACCACCAGCCUUCGUGUCUCCACCUCUGGUAACAUGACGAAUCAAGCUUUCAUCAAGUAUUGGGUUUUAUCAUAUAUCAUUCCUCUCCAAUGUAAUUAAUAAUUCAUACAAUGUUUGUGGUUGUGGUUGCUUUUGUUGUGAGUACUCAUUUUGCUCAAACAGUUUUAAUCAUAUGACUUUAUGCAUAUUCUUUCUUUAUUCAACUCAUUUUUAUAAUUGACCUUUUCGUUACAUAUUAAGACAAGAUAUUAAUCUUAUGUAGUCUAUUUUGAAUGUCAUAAAGGACCGAAUUGAAUUUGAGAGAAAGAUAUGUGAGGUAAAACGUUGAUAGAAAAAUAUCACAAUGGCAUUCUCUUGCCCCAUUCACCCAAAAUAAGCUUCUUUUCUUAUUUAAUAUGGUAGCCUUUGCUUUUUCCACCGGUAAAUUGAGCUCAGGACUCGUCAUUGGGAUUCUUUAUUCGAAAUCUUGCCAUUCUUUAAGGCAUAUACCAAUGCAAUCUGCAAAUUAAUGUUUUUGUCUCAGAUGAGGAAGAUCUGUGAGCUUGGAAAGGUUGUGUGGAUCUCAUAUUAGGCAACUUAAUUUGAAGGUUAAUAUUUUACUUUAUUUACCUAAAUAGGUGUUGUUUCCAGCUCAGAUGUUUCUUUUCUUUCCUUUCAUUGUGUUCUUUUAUUUAUAUGGUAUGGCGUCCGGUCAAAAAUAAAGAAAAAAAAUAUGACACAAUUCAAAUUAAGCUCAUUUGUACUUCUCAUGAAUCAUCUCUAUAUAAUAUAAUCAAUAAUGUAGUCAUUUGUCUCUAGACUUAUGUGUGAAAUCAUGGAUAAAUAUGUGCAACACUUGCUAAACGAACAUAUCAAUACUUUAUAAUAUUUUUAAAGCAAUUGUGAGCUACAAUACAUCAUAAUAAAAGUUAUUUGUGGGAUAUAAAUUUAAUACAUUCUCGAUUGUACUUCCUUUGUGUUCCUCUUGAAAGGUAUAAAAAUCCUGGUACUACAAGACAAUAUAAUAUUGUGUAAUCUUGAUUAUUUUUAAAUCAUUAUGGCAUACUAUAUUACUAGCUACCUAAUAUGAUAUAAGGUUUGUUUACACACACACACACAUAUGCACAUAUUCAUAUACAUACAUACAUACAUAUAUAUAUAUAUAUAUAUAUAUAUAUAUAUAUAUAUAUAUAUAUAUAAAAAGGUAUUAGAGAACUAUUUAAAUUAGAAAUACUUAUAAGUAUUUUAAUUUAAAUGAUUUUUAUUUGUUAUUUUGUUAUCUAUAUGGAAAUAUGGUGACUCUAAAGACUAUUGGUACCCAUAUUUUAGAUAUACAUUGAAAUUAGAAUAGUUACAUGUGUUGAUUCAUUAUUAAAUUACUUAAUAAUCAUUGAUAUAAGUAGGAUACAUAAUCAAAAUACCCGAUCACAACUUGAUAGCUUGGGACACAACUUAGUAGCCUUGAUUUUUAACUAUUAUUAGGUGCACAUACUUUCUUAGGGCCUAACACCCUGUCUAGCCCAGUAAACUAUAAUAUAUAUGCCUUCAAACCCUAAUAGUCAUCCAUUAUACCAUUUCUGUUGUAAAUAUCUCCCACAAAACUAGAUAGAGUCGCCCAUCCAGAUCUCUCCUUUUAUACUGUCCUUCCCUAUCAUUUCUUUUCUUGGGGGUUGUGAAUAUUGUUCAUAUGUUAGAAUGCCAGGUAUAUCCUUGUAAAUUAUCAUUUCUACCCACAAACCUAUGCAUAAUCUCUCAUCUCUAUGAUUAGUUUUAGAUUAGGGUCAUUUUUUGUUUAUUUAGGACUUUUAUGAUGUUUACAUAUUAAAACUAUGUUGGUGAAUGUUGAUUUAGUCAUUAUAAUUAUAAAUUGAUGAUUAAUCAUGGAAUAUAAUUAUAUUAAUUUCAAGCAAUUUUCCAGGAAUUGAAGUUUGCUGAACAAUGAAGAAAAUACUUCAAAACUAGGGGUAAGAAUGUCAGAUUAUUGAAUUAUAGUACAAUCUUGAAAAAUUAAUUUUUUCAUGUACUUUUUUGCUAAUACUAUUUGGUUAUUUCAGGGUUUUUUUUUGUGUAUACAAUUGUUUACCAAGUACAGUGAAGCCAGAAGUACCCACUAUAACAUAAAAAACACAGGCAAAAAGUUCUGCUCUCCUGCUGCCAAGAAGGCCGAUGCUGUUGACGUGGAGGCGUGAGAGUCGUUGGAUGUGAUAUGUUCUGCUAGUUUUUACUGUUUUAGUUUAAUGUGGUUAAUGGGAUGCAGGUCUAGGCUGUAAUAGUCUAGUCGUAAAAGUUCAGUAUUUUGGGUGCUUAGAUGGAUGGUUAAAUUUGAACUUGAUAGACAGCUGGGUGGUUUGUGCUUUUGCUAUAAAUUUUAACAGACUUAGGUACUUUCAUCUUUACUCUUAACGUCAGUCUUAUACUAUAUUUGCUUUAUUAUUGUUCCAUGCAAUUUCUUGAAACUUAUUGGGCUUGUGAAAUGGUACGCCGGGAAGGAUUUUGAUUGUCUUAUGUGCAGGUGGUGGUGUAACUGAAGCAACCCAGGUCAAAUCCCGAGUUUUUUUCCGAAAAUCGGGUCAAGUCCCGAAAUCCGAAUCCGAAAAUAAGCCAAAUAUACUGGCCCAAUUGCAGCAACUUGGGUAAUCCACAAGCCCACCACAGGCCCCCAAAAGAUCAUGAUUUGUUGGUGCAAUUGGUAGUAGUACUUAUGCUUAUAAACUGAACUAAAGUCUCCACACUCCUCGAUGUGGGACUGGGGUGUUACAAACUCCCCCACUUAAAUUCCUGACGUCCUCGUCAGGCCGAAACGGAUAGCCCAUAGGCCCAGAUCGAACCUCUCUAACCAUUGUGGGAUAAUACCGGCUGGCUUCGUGUCCCCGCCUCCGGAUCUCUGUCCAUUGCGGGAUAAUACCACCAGCCUUCGUGUCCCCACCUCCGGCAACUUGACGAAUCAAGCUUUCGAGAACCUCGCUCUGAUACCAUAUGUGACAACCCGAGUCAAAUCCCGAGUCUUUUUCGAAAAUCGGGUCAAGUCCCGAACUCCGAAUCCGAAAAUAAGCCAAAUAUAUUGGCCCAACUGCAACAACUUGGGUAAUCCACAAGCCCACCACAGGCCCCCAAAAGAUCAUGAUUUGUUGGUGCAAUUGGUAGUAGUACUUAUGCUUAUAAACUGAACUAAAGUCUCCACACUCCUCGAUGUGGGACUGGGGUGUUACAGUAACAACCCUCGCCCUCCGGACUUGACUUUGGUUUAAAACUAGCGUUGCUCGUGAGAGUAUGCUAAUGCGUGUGGGACUGUGGGAGUAGGGGUAAUUUUGAGGAUAGAUUUGUAUAUUGCUUGAGUGUUUAAAUGGGAUUAUUUGUAUAUUGCAUGAGUUUUUAAUCUGUGCUUGGAACAGAAUUUGGAUGAUCAUGGAAAGGGUUAAUAGGCUAAAUCAUAAUCAAACUGACCUCUAAGUUGCAAUUUCAUAACUGAACUCAAAAAGUUUGCAAUCGACUAAUUAAACUAAUAUUUAUUUUAAUUUACACGAGUCAACAUGUUUAACUUUCCCUUUUAUUUAUUUUACCAGGCAUAUUGGCCCAACUGCAACAACUUGGGUAAUCCACAAGCCCACCACAGGCCCCCAAAAGAUCAUGAUUUGUUGGUGCAAUUGGUAGUAGUACUUAUGCUUAUAAACUGAACUAAAGUCUCCACACUCCUCGAUGUGGGACUGGGGUGUUACAGUAACAACCCUCGCCCUCCGGACUUGACUUUGGUUUAAAACUAGCGUUGCUCGUGAGAGUAUGCUAAUGCGUGUGGGACUGUGGGAGUAGGGGUAAUUUUGAGGAUAGAUUUGUAUAUUGCUUGAGUGUUUAAAUGGGAUUAUUUGUAUAUUGCAUGAGUUUUUAAUCUGUGCUUGGAACAGAAUUUGGAUGAUCAUGGAAAGGGUUAAUAGGCUAAAUCAUAAUCAAACUGACCUCUAAGUUGCAAUUUCAUAACUGAACUCAAAAAGUUUGCAAUCGACUAAUUAAACUAAUAUUUAUUUUAAUUUACACGAGUCAACAUGUUUAACUUUCCCUUUUAUUUAUUUUACCAGGCUCCUGUAAUUUGUCUUUUUAAGUUUAUAUGGUUGGUGCUCCUAAUUACCUAAACAUUAUGGGUGGCAAUGCUCGGAUUUACAAUGAUAUAAUUUAAAUUCAUUUAAAGAAUUUGUAUAAUUUUAUGUAGAUAGCAUAUUUACGUCCUUUAGGUAAUUUGAAAUCAUAAUUAUUGAAGAAAUUUUAGACUGUUAUUUAUAACUUAGUGUUUCUACCUUAUAAAUAUUAGUGUAAUUGUAAGGAUAGUGUUUCUACCUUAUACACAUUAGUGUAAUUUUAAGAAUAAAGAUGGCCACAUAAUUGAUUGUUUAGUAUACUUUUCAAAUGAAAUAUAAUGUUCACAUAAAUUUAGAAUUAUAGUUCUUACUUUUUAUAUAUUAUUAAGUGGCCUACUUGAACUCUUUUGGAUACGAGGCUGCUAAUCAAAUUCUUAAGCUUGUUCCAAAUAUGGAGGUGGUUAUAGGUAUUCAUCUAAAUCUCAACAUUAAUAUUUCAUCAAUUUCUUUGACUUAAAUUUUGUUUGAUGUUAAAUGUAGAACUUUUAAACAAUCCUUGCUAAUCCUUUGGAGAUAUCUACAUAUACCGAAUGUCAUAAUGGACAUAUCUCAAUUUCGAAAAAAGAUGUCAUAGGUAAAACAUUUAUGGAAAAUUAUCACAAUGGUACCCUAAUGAUCGUUUUUCACAAAUAAGCUUUUAUAUGUUAUUUACUACUAUCGAUCUAUUUUCUUCCCAGGAAAUUUAUUACAAUGCUACUCAAUAGGAUUACUUAUGAGAAUUUUGUUCAUUCUUUAAGGCACACAAAUGCUUUUGCGGCACGCAAAUAUUAUCAAUGUGCAAUUGUGCAUAUUAUUAUAAUUGCUUCAUAUGAUGAUGUCUCAUUAAUUGGUUGCCCAAAAACAAUAUUGAAGCAACAUAGGUUUAAUUUGUGAUAUUCUGUUUUGUGUAUGUAAAUCACUUAGUAUAUACCGGUCAUUCUUGGAUGUAUCUUUUAUUUACAUGUAAACUUUUGGAGUAAGAAUGUUAUCAUGGAUCAAUUAUUCAUUAUUUCAUUUAUUUCCUAGUGGAAUAUUGUAGAUACUAUGUGGUCAGUGUCAUUUUUAUGCUAAUAUUUAAAUGCAAAUUUAAAAUCAUGUGUACAUUAUGAAUAUCACAUUAGGCUAUAGUGGAAAAUAAUUGAAUGACAUAUACAACAUGUGAGCUACUUGCAUAAGAUAGCUAUCAAAGACGGGUUUUAUUUGGAACAUACUAGCCGAUUUAUUUCAAUAAGUGAAUGCAACUUGAUGGGACAAUUAACUAUAGAGUUCGGAACAUUAUUAAGCUAGAGACGUGAUCUUAAAAUAAGUAUAUUACCUUUUGCAUUAGUUAUAAUUUUGACUUUUUAAGUCCUCGAUGUGAAAUUUUUAACAAGAUUUGUUAUUCUAGUAAGUUGGAUGAUUAAAUGUGUUAUACUCAUUAUUCAAUUUAUAUUAGGUUAAUUGAGUACAUUACUAAAUUAGUAAAUUGAGGUCAGAACUCUGUCAUUGGGAUUCUUUAUUCAAAAUCUUGCCAUUCUUUGAAGCAUAUACCAAUGUAAUCUGCAAAUUAAUGUUUUUGUCUCAGAUGAGGAAGAUGUGUGAGCUUGGAAAGGUUGUGUGAAAUCUAAGCUUAGGCAACUUACUUUGAAGGUUAAUAUUUUACUUUAUACCAAGGUUGUGUGAACAUUAAUUUGAACCCUAGUUACAAAUGUGUUGAAUGCACGAUUUAUCUAUUCGUUAUUUUUAAAAAUUGUGAUGUUUAUUCAAGAAUUUUUCAGCAUAGAUAAUUUCUAUAACUAAGGAUUAAUACGAUAGAAGAAUAAAAAAAUUCAAAAAAAAAGUUUGUAAGUUUGUAACUUUAAAAAGUUUUUAUUUGAUACUAUCUCUAUACAUACAUACAUACAUACUCACACACACAUAUAUAUAUAUAUAUAGUCUUACUCAAAUGAGAACCACUCUUAUGAUGAGAUAUGAGAUCUGAUCCCAGCCACUCAUUUAAAUACAUUAUAUUCAUCUCUCACCAUUCAUUUAAUAUUUUAAUAUUUCACCGUAUUCCAAUUAACUGCCUAUCACCUUCAACCACCGCUGACCACCACCACCACCUCCGGCGAACACCAGAAAAUCACUACCGGCAAACAUUAAAUCACCACCGAAAAGAUAAAAAUCACCACCAGAAAGCUAAAAAUCACCGCCAGAAAAUCAAAAAUCAACCCCUGAAAAUUAAAAUCACCACACCUCCACCAUCUACAAACCACCACCACCACCCAAAAAAUCCGAAAAAUCACCAACUACAAAACAAAAUCACCGUCGGAAAAUCAAAAAACACCAUCAAAAAACGAAAAUCACCAAAUCCAACCAAUCUUUUCAAUGACUAGUUAUGGUGACAAGCAUUAACCAACAUAAACGAUUUGCUCUAGAUCUGAGCGCACAAAAACAGAAGCACGAAUCUGGUGUUCGUACCGAACGCGGCGACGACAUCGGGGCCAUAUCGAGAGGACGUUGGCGGCGAAGAGAUAAGACGGAGUUGAUCAGGUGGUCGGUGGCGGCGAUUCAUCGCUGGACCAGAGUGAUUCAAGUGUGUAUCAGAGGUCUCGCCGGGGCGAGCAAGCAACAGCAGCCACAGGGGGAGGUGGGAAAGUGAUGAAGAGCGAGAGAGGGAUGAAAUGAGGAAGGGAGAGAGAUGAACAGAUUUGGGGUUCGGCAGUGACGCAAGUGGGUGGUGGGUGGAGAGGUGGGUGGGGUGGGAGGUAAAUGAAAAACAUAAAUUAUAAAAAUAAAUGUUUAAAUGUGUGGUUGUGAUUUAAUUUGGGGAUAAAGAUGUGUGAUUGAAAUUAGAUCUCAUAUUUCACAUUAGUUGGGUUCUCAUUUGAGCAAGAGCAUAUAUAUAUAUAUAUAUAUAUAUAUAUAUAUAUAUAUAUAUAUAUAUAUANAAGCUAUUAGAGAACUAUUUAAAUUAGAAUACUUAUAUGUAUUUUAAUUUAAAUAAUUUUUGUUAUUUUGUUAUCUAUAUGAAAAUAUGGCGACUUUAAAAAGUAUUGGUACACAAAUUUUAGAUAUACAUUGAAAUUAAAAUAGUUACAUGUGUUAAUUUAUUAUUAAAUUACUUAGUCAUAUAUCAUUGAUUUAUACAAGUAUGAUACAUAAUCAAAAUACCCCCGUCACAACUUGCCAGCUUGGGACACAACUUCAUAGCUAGCCUUGAUUUUGAAUUAUUAUUAGGUGCCCAUAGUUUCUUAGGGCCCAACACCCUGUAGAGCCCAAUAAACUAUAAUAUUUAGUUCUUCAAACCCUAAUAGUCAUCCAUUGUGCCAUUUCUCUUGUAAAUAUCUCCCACAAAACUAGAUCUAGCCGCCCAUCCAGGUCUCUCCAUCUGUACUGUCCUUCCCUAUCCUUUCUUUUCUCGGGGGUUGUGAAUAUUGUUCAUAUGUUAGAAUACCAGGUAUAUCCUUGUAAAUUAUCAUUUCAAAAUCUCUCAUCUCUAUGAUUGAUUUUAGAUUAGGGUCGUUUUUUGUUUGUGAUGUUUAAAUAUAAACACUAUGUUGGUGAAUGUUGAUUUAGUCAUUACAAUUAUAAAUUGAUAAUUAAUCAUGAAAUAUAAUCAUAUUAAUUUCAAGCAAUUUUCCAGGAAUUGAAGUUUGCUAAACAAUGAAGAAAAUGCUUCAAAAAUAGGGGUAAGAAUGUCAGAUUAUUGAAUUAUACUAAAAUCUUAAAAAAUAAAAUUUUUCACUGUACUUUUAUGCUAUAUACUGUUUGGUUAUUUCAGGGAUUUUUAUGGGAACAAGUUCUGCUCUCCUGCUGCCAAGAAGGCCGAUGCUGUUGACGUGGAGGCGUGAGAGUCGUUGGAUGUGAUCUGUUCUGCUAGUUUAUACUGUUUUAGUUUAAUGUGGUUAAUGGGAUGCAGGUCUAGGCUGUAGUAGUCUAGUCGUAAAAGUUCAGUAUUUUGGGUGUUUAGAUGGAUGGUUAAAUUUGAACUUGAUAGACAGCUGGGUGGUUUGUGCUUUUGCUAUAAAUUUUAACAGACUUAGGUACUUUCAUCUUUAUUCUUACUGUCAGUCUUAUACUAUAUUUGCUAUAAAUUGUUUGAAGCCUAUUGGGCUUGUGAAAUGGUACGCCAUGAAGGAUUUUGAUUGUCAAGUUUCACCCAGGACCAUAUUUGAAAAAGGCCCGGGUGAUCAUUUUGGGUGCACCUUUAAUGUGUAUUAAUGAUCAAGCAUAUAACAAAUAAAUAUUAAUUCUGUGCGUAUAUAUAUACCUACAUGAACACAUUCAAUAUUCGACAGAAAUUGACAUUGAUUUUCCUAAAAAUGCGACUGUGGAAUAUCGUGUCACUGUGCUACUGAGAGUAACAUCUAAGAUUUUAAUGACAGAAGAAAAUCUUCAAGCUCCUUAUAUAUUUCUUGCAGUGGAAUCCUGGGGGAUUCAUCGGUGAUGCUGCAUAUUCAUGUGAUGGUCAGUCCAUAUAUGCCUGCUUUCUUAACACGCAGAUUGUUUUCAUGGACUCGGCAUCAUUUUCCAUAAACUUUGUUAUCAACCCGACUGCAUAUUUACUUUUAAGCAAUACCACCCUCUUGACGGGAAGUUGCCUUCUAUAUUAUAUCUACAGCCUACAAAACACAAUCAGUUUGCUCUCGGGCUUAGUGAUGGUGGCGUACUUGUCAAAGAAUUUGAGGCUGAGGAUAUUGGAAAUGGCUAUGUUGCAUGCCUUAGCUUGAGACCAGCAACAUAUGAAAACUUGAUAUGAGCUUUUGUGGUAAUCAGAGCCCGGUGUCUCUUAAAAUCUAAAUGUUUUAGCACAUACAUGUAAAGAUUGGAUUAGUGCAAGGUUUUAAAGAUGUUUUUUUUUGCUUGACCAUGUUAACUGAUAAAUUUUCAAUGAGAAUAUAUAUAUAUAGAGUUGGGCUCCUUAAAAAACCCACAUUUAUUAGAGUCCUUGGAGUCCCCACUAAUCACCAUUAGAUCAUAUUUUAAUCCUACGGUUCAUAGAGAAGAUGGGGUUAUUAUUUUUUUAAAACAAAAAUUGUAUGAUUUUCCAAAACAAGCGUCUUAUCUCCACUGCUAAUAACAAGGAGGGUUGCUGGGCAGUUAUAAUUUUCAAAUUAAUUGUGAUAGCUGAUAUCGUGCAACUUAUUUGAUCUUGCAACACAGAGAUCUUCUCGACAUUAUACAGGAGAACAGUUUCGCUAGAUGAUACUAGGGUUUAACUUCUAUUUGGCAAAGAAAUUACUCGAGCAGGACAUCAUCAGUAAUGAGCGAAGGCAUGCCAUCAUCUUGAAUUGCCGGAUAAAAUCCUUUUUUGUGUGUGUAUGUGAUGUCUACAGUUAUCUCUUAAUUUGAAUUAGAACUGGAAAAUGGAAGUUAUGGAUGCAGGAUAUUUGGGACAUAUUGUACUGCACAUCUGUGAUUGAGAAUUUUUUGCAUAAAUUACUACAGGAUAAGCAUUUAUUAAAAAUAAACCACAUUAGAGGCUAAUAUGCAUAGUGUAGUGUGCAAUGAUUCCUGAGUGCGGGACAUUUUUUGAGUGAGAAAAAGGACAUUUGGGAUUGUGAAUAUUUUUCAUAAAUAACUGCAGGACAAGCUCUGUGAUUGAGAAUAUAGGGUACAUUUGAUCAGUAUGCAAAAAAGAAAUGUGUUGCAAGAAUGUGAAUACAAUAACUAUAGAUGUAAAAUAUAUUUCCAUCUUUCUCGUCGUUUGCCAUACUAUGUUAUGCAUACAAUUCUUAUGUUGUUGGUUUCUGCAAAAACCAAAAAAAAAAACAAAGAAGAACGGAGUGACAUUACAAGUGCAGAACAUCCAUAAUGAAUAUUGUAUCUCCACAAACAAUGUAACUGCUCCUUAAUUACGUUGAAGAUGUGUAUACCGGGUCAAACACACACAACACAUGCUCAUUUCAACAUUAAUAUUAAAAUAAAAUUCAAAAUAAAAGAUAGCCUUUGGAUGAAGAUGAAAUGUAUGGUCAAGAUUGAGACUCCGGGAACUCCAAAAGACAUGGGACUCCAUAUAACUUUCUUAUAUAUAUAUAUAUAUAUAUAUAUAUAUAUGUUCCAAUGUCUACUCCCUCCGUCCCUUUUUAUGUGUCUAUUUUGGAAAAAAAAACACAUAACAAGGAAUAAUUGAUUGUAUAAACUUUUUCAUUAAAUACCCCUAAUUAAUAUCUUGAAAAUGGUGGAAUACCCGCUAAUUAGUACUAGAAGGGUAGUAUAUGUAAACUAGAGAUAUAAAUUAUGUAUACAUACAACACAUUAAUUCAAUUGAUUUAUUUCCAUGUACAAAAGGAUUGCAUUAAAUACUGUGUACACAUUUAAUGCUAGACUUUAUAUUUUUCCAUAUUCAACUUGUUUCAAUAAAUUGAUUAUACAAAUUCUAGUUAUAUCGAUUAAAUUGCACAAUAUUUUAUUUUAUUAGUUUCCAUAUAUACCUCUUAAUUAAUGACUUAUUCUGAAUCUUCACAACCAAAUUCAGCUACAUAAUAAUUGACAAUCAAAUUUUGAGCCACCGUUUAAAAUUCUACUAUAUUUCAAGGACUUCUCAUAAAUUUAUUAAUUUAGACCUAGUAGUAUUUCAUUUUAGAUCAACUACCCGAUUAUCGAACUACCCGAUUUUGGAACAACUACUCACUCGAUUUUGGAGAUUCCACAACGUGUACGUGAAAAGUGAUAAGAAUAAUUAUAUUUUAAUAUUAAAAUUAAAAUUUUAAAAUUACAACAAUAUCAAUAAAGUUCUACUUAUAAUAUCCGCAAAAUUUUUUGUAUUUAUUACUAUUAUGAUUUAAAGAAGAACAUGUCAUUCUUUCGUUAUCGUUAUAGUAUAUUUUACCUACUGGCCAUUUGUUAAAUCUGAACCGUUAUAUCUGGAUGAGUUGAAUUUCUGAAUGAUUGAUUAAUCUGAAUGAGAAUGAAUGCUUUUGUUUGUCUUUUUUUUCUAAUUUAUAAUUUGAAUGACUAGUUUAUAGCAUAAAUUAUUAUUAAAUAUAUUAUUUUAUUAAAUAAUUGUUACUAUUAUGUAUUUUAUAUUUUUUAAAUAAUUUUAAAAUAUAAUAUAAUAUGAUUGUUGAAAAUUUUGAAUGUAUUUUUAUUUUUAAAAUUUAUAUUAUAAAAUUAAUUUAUUAUAAUAUUGAUGGGAAAAUAAAACUUACAUCGUAUAAUGAAAUUUUCUUAAAUAUUGUAUCAAAUGUUGCUAUCAACUUGAAAUUUAAUGACCAUAAUUGAAAUCGAUAAUGAAAUUACAAAAUCUCCCUAUAUUCAACUAUUAUAUUUUAAUAUAGAUGUCAUACUAAAUAAUUAAUAUUAUUAUACAGAUAAAUUUUAGCUGGAUAAUAUUUAAAAAUAAACUAUUUUUUUGUCACCCAUAUACUUGUGCCUGGUAGAUUUAUUUAUUUUAAAAUUUAAUAUUUUUCAUUUUAAAUAUUUCAUUUUAAAUUAUAAAUAUUAAAUAUUUUUGAUAAUUGGGCUCACUAACAUAUAAUUUUAAAAAUAAGUAUUCUUAAAUGUCAAAAUUUUCAAUAUUUCAAAUUUAUAGAACAAUUAUAUAUAAAUAUAUAAAAUAGUUUGAAGAGAUUAGAUAUAUUACUAUUAUUAAAUGAUGAACAAGUUAGUUCAUCUGGACGAUUGAGAGGAAAAAGUUAGCAUCUGUCGUAGGUUUUCAGUGUCGUCCAGUUCAAAUCAAAAACUAUCAAACGUGCUUAACAUGAAAAAUUUGUGAACGAGACCUGCAGGGACCCUCUCAUUCACUUAAUAUUUCAAACUUAUAUCGUUUUAAUAUUAAAUUACUAACUUAUUUUCACAAGAUUCUUCAAGGUGUUCCGUAAACACAUGAUAAUAAUUUCACGAUCAAAUAGAUCAAAUAUCUUGUUUUAUCGAGAUGACAAUAUGUAAAUAUUUUAAAUUAUUUCAAUAAUAUUUAUACUAAUCAAUGAGUUCUUCACCGAUGUAACAUAUGUUAUUGAAUAAUUUAUAUUUUCAGAUUUAUUUUUUCUACUGGUUUUAUAGAUAUUCUUUAACAUGUUACUUACACAUACGAUAAAAAUUGUACUUUUGGGUUUUAUUUAAUUUUAGAUGAUAAAUUUUUAAAAAAUAAAUUAUUUCAUUUAGUGUCUUGCGUGCCAAGUGUACGAUAUCUUUAUAAGUUAUUUACAUACUAAUUUUUAAUUUUUAGAUAUUAAUUUAAUAUGUUCUUUUGUUGAGAUUCUUUAAGAUGUUACGUAGCUACAUAAGUAAAAUACAUGGUUCUGUUUUUUUAAAAUUUACUAAAAAAAUUUAUUAUUUUGAUUAAUAUGGAGAUUUAAUAAGAAGUUCUCAAAUACUAAAGUUCUAAUGAAAAAUCUACAACAUAUUUUUUGCUAGUAAACAUUUAUAAGGGAGAUUCUAUAACGUGUUCAUGAAGGUGAUAAGAAUAAUUACAUAUUAAUAUUUUUAAAAAAAUUAAAAUUACGAAAAUAUCAACAAAGUUUUAUUGGUAAAAUCUGCUAUUAAUGAUUUAGUGUUUUAAUUUAUAUGAAGAUUCCAUAACGUGUUCAUGACAGUGAAAAUAAUAAAUACAUUUCAAUAUUAAAAAUAAAAAUUAAAUUAUAAUGAUAUCAAUGAGUUUCUAUUUGUAAUAUCCGCAAAAUCUCUUGAAUUUAAUACUAUAUUUUACUACUAUUUUAUACUUUUUUGUUAUAUUAAAUUUAUCUUAAUCUCACAAGUUUCUUUAAGGUGUUCCUUAAACACAUGAUAAAAUUUCAUGAUUAAAUUUUCGUAUUUAUUUUUAAUAAACAGGAAGUUGGUUGAAAGGUGGUAAGAUAUUAUCUGGAGAUUUUUAAGUGUUCGUGAAGGGAGUGUAAAUAACUACAAAUAUAUAUAUAUAUAUAAUAAUUUUGCUUUCAAAAAAAUAUAUAUAAGAUAACUUUAAAAUUAAAAGAUUAAGGUAAUAUUGAACAAAAAUCUUAGCGAAAGAUUUUAGAACACUUAAGAGAGUCUAAAAUAAAACCAGCAAAAUCUAUAAAAAAAAUUAGAAUAGAACAUUAAGUAGAAUUUUAAAUUUAUAUGACAUUAAAAUAUAAAAAAAUUCAAAUGUUUUACAAGAGAGAAAAUUAAUGAAUCUUUCUUUAAAUACCUUAAAGAAUCUUUCUGUUUACAUAAAAAUAGAUUGAUUUCAAUAAAUCAGAUUCUAUGUUAGAGGAAACUACUAUAUAUAAAAUACAAGAUUCUUGUAGGUGAUGAAAGAAUCGAUUUCAAAUCUUCUAUUAGACAUGAUAUUACAACUAUAAAUUGUCAUUUGAUAAGAAUAAAUUCUUUUCAAAAUUGAAAAGAUUUCACAAUCCCUAAAGAUCACAAAAUUAGACAAGUUAGAAUACAAAAUGCAAACCCUUAAUUAUACUAUAAAAUUACAACAAUGCCAUUAAAACAUGUAUUUGUUAGUGUAUUAAAAUACUAAUGAUCAAUGGUCUAGGAUAAGGAGUCUCUAUGGAACUCAACCCACACACACAUAUAUAUAUAUAUAUAUAUAUAUAUAUAUAUAUAUAUAUAUAUAUAUACGCGGUUAGAUUAUUUGGAGACUGUAGAGACCUAAUCCUGGCCAUCCAAUCAUUAAACAUCCAACGGCUGCAUAUAUUUUGUCCUGCACGUUUGUUUUCUCUCCCUAUCCUGUCCUGCACUUCUAAAUCGAUGAACAACAAGCAGUACUUCUAAAUCUUGCAUAACAUAAAAUAAUAAUUCCAUAAUAUUGGUGUUCAAUCACCGAAAUCCUAACAAAUAAAAAUAAUAAUUGCAUACAAAACAAAGAUGUAGUAGGACACUGCUAUGAUUGGCACUGAACUCAUUGUCAUUGUCCUGCAACGAAUUGAAUUUGUUGCAAGACAAAAUAACACUUAGAUAUAUCACAAAUAUGCGGGACAAAUUAUUAAUAUUACAUUACUAGAAAUGCAGGACAAGAAUAGUGUAAAUUACAAACAUAGUUUUGAAUUAAAACUAAAAACAAGAAAUGCAGGACAAGAAUAUUAAUAAUACAUUACUAGAAAUGCAGGACAAGAAUAGUGUAAAUUAUUAAUAUUACAAAAUUAGAAAUGCAGGAUAAGAAAUGCAGGACAAAGAAUAUUUAAUCAUGUCCAUUAAUUGCCAUAUUAUUUAACGGUAGAUCUUAUAGUCUCUAAUGACUCCAAAAUUUUUGGUCUCCAUUGAGCCCAACUCUCUCUCUCUCUCUAUAUAUAUAUAUAUAUAUAUAUAUAUAUAUAUAUAUAUAUAUAUAUAUAUCAAAGAUAUUAUAUAGGAUCAAACUAAAAAUUAUGAUUUGUACUCCAAUACUCCAAUGUUUUUAUGUACUCCAUAUAACUUAACUAUAUAUAUAUAUAUAUAUAUAUAUAUAUAUUGCACAAUUUGAAUUGAUAAUUGUCAACACAUUAUGAAAAUAAUAAAAGAAACUCAAUAUUUUGGCAUAUACAAUAUUUUAUUUAUAAAACCGGUAAUUAGGGUUAGUAUCCAACUCAUUCAAAUAAAGCACAUGCCAUCUAUCACCUUGAGAGGUCCAAGGUACACACACCCCUGUAAACGUACUAAAAUCACCAACACUUAAUAGGCCUCUAGAUGGAUCAUAUCUCCGAUCCCAUCCGAGUCUAUUUUAAAUGGACAUGGAUUUAUUUCAAAACAAUCCUAUCCAACAACAAUAAUCUAAUUAUUUAAUGGACCAUAUAUGGAUUUAGGUCAAUCCGAUCCCUCUAUGAUUGAACCCCAUCAUUUUAUGCACAUAUAAAAGAAUAUUAAUAUAAUAUAUAAUACUUAUAUACUAAAUAUGCUUCUUCGAUCCUAGUUUUGUAUGUCUUUUAUAAAAAUCAAACAUUUCGAAAAAAUGAUACUGAAAUAUUUAUAAUUCUAUUUUAAAAUAAUAAUUUUGUUUCAACUUAACUUAGUCAAACUAAUAAUUUCAUUCAACAAUUACAUAAAUUAAAUAUCUAAUAAACUUUUUGAUAUAUUGUUCAAACGAAUAUUUGAUCUACUUAAAAUGUAGUUUUGAGAUAAAGUUUUAUAUAUUGUUAAAAUUUGAACAAUUUAAAUUUGAAAAUAUGUUCAAUAGUGGCAUAUAGUUUUUUUGAGUGAGGUAAAUAAUUGCCUUCACUCCUUUAGUUAUAGCACUGUGUAAAAUUAUGUUUGUAUAGGUGAUAGUAAUCAUAUAUUUUCUUAUAGUUUGUAUCUUGAAUGGAAUUUUCAUUAGUAGAAUUAUUAUGAUAUAAUUACUUUUUUGAUCUUAUAUAUUCAAUAACAAGUAUACAAUUAUAUGAUCGAUAUUUUCAAUAAUUUUGACCAAAUUUACCUCCUAAAUCGUUGGCUAGAGACCGUCCAAUAUAAUUUUAUAGCAGAAUGUUUUAAUUGAUUAUAUAUGGGAAAAAAAUGAACACUUCUAAAAUUAUAUAUUGUUUUGAAUACAAUGAUUAGUGUAAUUUUAUUUUGAAUAAAUCAUCUUAAUAACUUGUAAUAUGUAAUUUUAAUUUCCUGGUCGUUAUUGAUGUUAAUGUAUUUGGUGUCAUUUUUGUAUCUUAUGAGUUCUCGGUGUUGAUAUGAGCUUAUUGUUAUUGAUCUAAAUGUAUUUGAUCUCAUUUUUUUUAUAGAUUAUGUAUUGGAUGUGAGCUUCUCUAUUAUUUAAUUUACACGAGUCAAUAUGGUGCACCCAAGAUUGUAGGUGGCAAUGAUCUAAUGAUAUUAUUUAAAUUCAUUCAAAGAAUUUGUACAAUCUUAGUUAGGUAGAUUAUUUAGGUCGGGUAUAUAGGAAAUUUUUUAGGCUACAUAAGGUUUUUACCUUAUAAACAUUAGUGUAACUUUAAGGAAAGUGUUUCUAUCUUAUAGAUAUUAGUGUAAUUUUUAAAAUAAGAAAGGCCACAUAUAUAAUUGAUUGUUUAGUGUGAUUUACAACAAAAUAUAUUGUUCACGUAAAUGUAGAAUCAUAGGAUCUUACAUUUUAAUAUUUUUAAGUGGCCUUAUUCCAUGUCCACUAUUAGUGUUGUAAAAAAGCGCGAAUCGGAUUUUGUCGGUGAAGGCACCGUCCAGCAAUUAAUCGGAUAAUUGGGGAUUAAUCGGAGUGAUUAAUCUGAUCAUUAAUCGUAACCAAUUUAAUAUUAUUUUUAAAAUUAUAUAUUAAUAUAAUUAUAUACUAUAAAUUUAUAGUCUUAUAAAAUUAAAAGUUUAAUGAUUUUUCAUAACAUAAAACAUGUCUUUAUAUACAUAUACAAGUUCAGUUAUCUCAUAUAUAAGCUUGAAUUUGAAUGAAUCUGCGAAGUAAAAUAUUGCUGAUUUUUGUAAUUAGAGUCGGGGGCUAAUAUCGAAAGAGUGAAAGGUAAUAAAAACAACUUUAACUUUUGUUAUUUGUCAUUUCCAUGCCUUUUAUUUUAUUAGAAAUUGAAUUUUAAAUUUUUAAAAAAAUUACUUUUUAUUUUAAAUUUUUUUAAAUUCACCGAUUUUGACCGUCUUUUUCCGAUUAAUCCCGUCUUUUGACCGAUUAAUCCUGUUUUUGACCGAUUUUAAGAAAAAACGAUUUUUCCACCGAUUAACACUUAAUCGAGACGGUGGCCGACCGAACAGCGAUUAAUCGGCGAUUAACCCCGAUUAAUCGCCGACUUUUAGAACACUGUCUACUAUAUGUAUUAUAAAGGUUUUUUUUUUUUUUGACAGUACUAUAUAUGUAUUAUAAAGGUUAUUUAAUCUUGAGGAAAUUCAUUCAGUUUAAAAAGCCUAUCUGAACCUUUUCAACACUACACUGCUUGACGUAAUACCAAAGCAGAACUUUUUAUUUAAAAUAACUGCUUUAUCCUUCAGGAGCUGAUAAUUCGGACCUGGUUCCUAACCUUGGCAAUGAUCAUUUCACUGAUCAGAUCAUGCUCGACUCCUUCAGUGUUCACUUUCAUUGGUUGUUCCUCACAAAAGUUUUCUGAACUCAAGCUUUUAUAUAUGGGUGAUGGGUGACUACAGGAAAUGGGUAUCUUGGACUAGGCGGUCCAUCACCCAUAUAUAAAAGCUUGAGUUUAGAAUACUUGUGUGAGGAACAAACAGUGAAAUUGAGUCAUUUAAUGUAUCGAUAAUAACUGGCUCUUCAAGAGGAAUUUUAAAAGGAUCUAGCCAUGAAAAAAAUUUGAAUUGUUUAUCUUCAAUGUCAAAUGACACUACUGCUUUGGAAAUUCUAUCUUCAAUACCUGCAGAAUCAGUAACCCAAUGAAAUGCCUAUUCUAAAGGUCAGAUGAAAUAAGGAGCAGAGAUACCAAAACGUAUCACUGGAUCAUUGAAAUGAGGGGCACUUGAUCAUGCUCAUGACAUGGAAGAGUUGUUAAAUCAUGUGCACUACGACAAUUAGGAUGUUGGACAAAUGAUCUUCCUAUAAUGACAACAUAUGAGAGCGAUUUUUUUAUGACCCUAAAAUCCAAAAACGGAAGAACACUCCAGUUUUUUGUAUUUCACUACAUUCUGCAUUUAUGUUGAAACUUUGGAAACAGUAACCUGGGAUAUUGAAUAUGCAGGAAGGGCUGUUCAGUGAUGUAAUUUCCGACCCUUGCAUAGUAUAUCUAUUAACACUGCGUGACCUAAUAUCUGAAGCAUUGUAGAAGAAUAAUAAAUUAUAACAUCCGGUUAAAAGUAUGAAAGGAAAUAUCUCCGUAAUAGUUUUGAAAAUGUUACCCGCAGUUUAACACUAACUAAUGUUGCUUUUGUGAGCUUUGUCUACUUUACUUUGUAGGGCACACACUGUUCAGUUAAAGCAAUGUGGCUUUCGGGAGCUUAAUUUGCUCUAAUUUAGUUUGUAGCACACACUAUUCAGUAAAACCUAAUGUGGCUUUUGGGAGGUUUGCUCUCUUUUGUAUAGUAGGGCAUACAUCCUGUUGAGUAAAAACUAAUGUAACAUGUGAUGGGAGCACAACAAUUUUUUGAAGUUGAUUAUUAUUAGGUACAUUUUCUAUCACUAACCACCACAACAAUAAUGUCUGCAUUCCAUAUAUAUAUUCGAAAUGAUAUGUCUUGUCUUUACUUAAGGAUCUUUUUUUUUGUGUUGAAAUAUAAGUAUAAGAUCCAUAAAAGGGCCUCCCCUAGCACCUUAAGGUUUUAGAUGGAAUGGUUCUCUACAUGGUAUCAGAGCUCAGGUUUGUGGGAGGUCUCGGGUUUGAGCCCCUGCCACCCCCCAAUAUUCUCACAAUUUAAAAUGGACACGAAGGCAAUUUAUACCCCAAAGAUGGGCGCCCGUGAUCCACUCUUCAACCUAAAUAAUGGGAUUUCGAGUGAGGGGGAGUUCGAGCCCCUGCCACACCCCAAUAUUCUCACAAUUUAUAGACACGAACUCUUCAACCCAAAUAAUGGGAUUUCGAGUGAGGGGGAGUGUUGAAAUAUAAGUAUAAGAUCCAUAAAGGCGCCUCCUCUAGCACCUUAAGGUUUUAGAUGGAAUGGUUCUCUACAGUAAUCUAUAUACAUAUAUAGUUGGUCAUGUAUUUUUCGGUCAUGAAAUUGAUACUAAAUUUUUUGAUCUUUUUAUCUUAAAAAUAUUUCUUUCCUUCUCUUUUAUAUUUCAAAUACUUUGAUUCACAUGUGUAUUGUUGAUGUGAUUUAUCUCUCUUGUAAUACUACCCAUUUACAGUUUGUAAAACUAGUUAUUACUAUUCUAUACUUCUACUACAAUCGGACCAUGGAAAAAAACUUUUCCCGGCCACCUGCUGCAACUUCAGUUAUGUUCUAUCCUGAGGAAAAUAAUAUCGUUAUCGUCGGCAGGGAGGAUGACUCUAUACUAAUCUAUGGUGUUCAGAAAGAUAUGGUCUUUAUCUAUAUAUACUGAAAUCUAAGUGUUGUACAUUAAAAAAGAAUUAUCAUUUAGCUAUUAAGUUCUUAUUAUCUAUUUGGCAUAUAUAGAUGAUUGCCCAGAUAAUGCUCAUCAGAAGAGAGUGACUGGUCUUGCCUAUUCUAGUGCAUUGAAUAUCCUUUUAUCGUCUGGAUAAGAUGCUCAGGGACAUUUUUAAAGUGGAAGGCUAAUAGAAGAUAUCAGAUGCAUCGGCACAUUUCUGUCAAGUGUCACCAGGACCAAAGACAUUUGUUGGUUGUACAUGGAAGUUGUAUAGGCACUCCUGAGAUACCUAAUCUCGAGCCCUGCAAGCAGGUAUCUACAAAUUAUUUGCAGAGUUGACAAUUAAUUUAUAUGCUUUGUUGAAUAUCACAACAUGCUUAAUUCACCCACGCUUUAUUAGACCUUAUUUGAAAGAGGUCGGGGUGAUCAUUUUGGGUGCAACUAUAAUGUGUAUUAAUGAUCAAGCACAUAACAAAUAUAUAUUAAUUGUGUGUCUACAUAUAUACCUACAUGAACACAAUCAUAUUCGACAGAACUUGACAUUGAUUUUUUUAAAAUAGCCCCUGGUUCAAUAUCAUGUCGCUCUGCUAUUGAGGGAUCUAAGUUCUUCAUGACAGAAGAAAAUUCUUAAGCUCUUUAAAUAUUUCUUGCAGUAGAUUCCCGGGGAAUUGAUCAGUGAUGGUGCAUACAUAUUCAUGUGAUGGCCAGUCCAUAUAUGCCUGCUUUCUUAACAGGCACAUUGUUUUCUUGGACUCAGCAUCUUUGACCAUAAAAUUUUUUAUCAAUCCGCGUGCAUAUUACCUUCUAAUUAAAGGUACGUGUUAUGUUUAAUUAAAAUGUAUCCUGAAAAAAUGAGCUUAUUAGCGAUAACAUCCUCUUGACUAGAAGCUGCAUUCUGUAUUAUAUCUACAGCCGGGUGAUGUCUGCUUCUACUCUUGCGGCUAAUCCUACAAAACACAAUCAGUUUGCUCUCGGGGAUAGUGAUGGUGGCGUACUAGUUAUAGAACUUGAGGAAGAGGAUAUUGGGGUUGGCAUUGUAGCACGCCUUAGCUUGAGACCAGCAACAACUGAGAACUUGAUAUGAGCUUUUGUGAUAAUCAGAGCCCAGUGUCUCUUGAAAUCUAUAUGUUUUGAAGUUUUUUUUUUGCUUGACUAUGUUAAGUGAUAAAUGUUCAAUGCAAAUAUACACCCAGUGCAAAAUUUGAAAUGAGAAUUGUCAACAGAGUAUGAAAAUGAGAAAAGAAAGACAAUAUUUUGGCAGAUACAAUGUUUCACUUAUACAACGUGUAAUUUUCAAUGCAAAUAUACAUGUAGCUUCCCAAUUUCAAAAGAGAAUUAUCAAAACAAAUAUGCAAAUAUACAUGCUUGACUAUGUUAAUUGAAUUUUUUUUUUAAUUCAAAUAUACAUGUAGAAGCAGAAUAUGAAAUGAGAACUGUCAACAUAGUAUGAAAUAUGAAAAUAAUAAAAGAAAUUCAAUAUUUUGGUAUUCGGAGUGUCCGAAACGACACAUUUUCGAGUAUUGGAUUUGGCAUUAUCGAAAAUUCCGGACACUGUUACAAUGUCCUAGUUAAUUUUUGACAUGGAUACGGUGACGUACCGAAUUUUAAAAUAAUUAUUUAUUUUCAUUUGAUAAAUAAAUAAAUAUAUUUCAUUAUUUUUUAGUUGAAAAUGUGCAUUUGAUUGAUUUAUAAAAUUCAAAAAUUAACAACUACUAUAACAAAUGUGUUAAACAUUUUUCUUGCCAAUAUUCAUGUAAAGAAAAAAUUAUGCACAGCAGAGUAAAACAAAGGGAAAAAGGGAAACAGCUGGAUAAUGAAUGUGGACUUAAAAAAGUCCAGAUACAUUUGUAAUAUAUAAUACAUCUCAAUACAUGUGUUCCUCCAUCUUUUCAUCCUUUUACUAUCAUCUUCUUCAUUUCUCUCCACCUUUUCACCACUUCUCAUCUUCUUCUUCCUCUUCCCCAUCUUUCAUAACAUCGCUUCUUACACAAUUCCUUCUAUAAUUCUCAACGAUCUUUGAUUUUGAUUUCUCUGAUAACCAUCGACUUUUCCUAUGAUGAAUGUGCGGUAUAGAGCUUUCAACCGAGCAGUCCGGCCUCUAUCCUGUUUCUUGUCUUGUGUCGUGUCGUGUCGGCACGGGUACGUUGAACGGAAUAGGCGAGUCGGAGUAACACAGCUAAGCAAUGAAGAAAAUGCUUCAAAACUUGUGGUAAGAAUGUGAGAGUAUUUAAUUAUAUGAAAUCUUGAUAAUUAAAGACCGGAGUGUAUAUGAUGUAACAACUCUUGAAUGUCAUGAGGCUGAUGAUCAAGUGCCCCCUUAUUCCAAUGAUCCAGUGAUACUCUUUGGUAUCUCUGCUCCUUAUUUUAUCUGUCCUUUAAAGUAGGCAUUUCAUUCAGUUACUGAUUCUGCACCUAUACUGAUCUAUGAUGUUCAGAAAGGUAUGGUCUAUACUAAUCUAUGGUGUUCAGAAAGAUAUGGUCUUUAUCUAUACUGAUAUCUAAGUGUUGUGCAUUAAAAUAAAUUAUGAUUUAGUUAUUAAGUUCUUAUUAUCUAUUUGGCAUAUAUAGAUGAUUGCUCAUCAGAAGAGAGUGACUGGCCUUGCCUAUUCCAGUGCAUUAAACAUCCUUUUAUCGUAUGGAUAUGAUGCUCAGGUGCAUUUUUAAACUGGAAGGCUUAUAGAAGAUAUCAGAUCCAAAGUCACAUGACGCUAAUAAUCCUUUUGGUGUUGCAGAUCUGUGCUUGGAACAGAUUUGGAUGGAAAGUUGUCUAGCCACUCUUGAGGGGCCUAACCUCGAGCCCUGCAAGCAGGUAUCUGAAAAUUAUUUGCAGUGUUCUCAAUUAAUUUACAUGCUUUGUUAAGUAUCACAACAUGCUUCACCACCCUUUAUUAGACCAUAUUUGAAAGAGGUCAGGGUAAUCAUUUUGGGUGCAACUAUAAUGUGAAUUAAUGAUCAAGCACGGAACAAAUUAAUAAAUAUUAAUUGUGUGUGUACAUAUAUACCCUCAUGAACACAAUCAUAUUCGACAGAACUUGAUAUUGAUUUUUCUAAAAUUGCCCCUGGUGCAAUAUCAUGUCGCUCUGCUACUGAGAUUAACAAGUUUUUAACAACAGAAAAAAAUUCUCAAACUCCUUAAGUAUUGUUUGCAGUGGAUUCCCGGGGAAUUGAUCGUCGGCGAUGCUGCAUAUUUAUGUAAUGGCCAGUCCAUAUAUAUUCAUGCCUUUUUAAAAGGAACAUUGUUUUCUUGGAUUCGGCAUCAUUUACCCUCUUGACUGGAAGUUGCCUUCUGUAUUAUUUCUACAGCCAGGUGAUGUAUGCUUUUACUCUUGCGGCUAAUCCAACAAAACACAAUCAGUUUGCUCUCGGGCUUAGUGAUGGUGGCGUACUAGUUAUAGAAGAAGAGGAUACUGGGAUUGCUUUUUGUAGCACGCCUUAGCUUGAGACCAGCAACAGCUGAGAACUUGAUAUGAGCUUUUGUGAUAUAUAAUCAGAGACCAGUGACUCUUGAAAUCGAUAUGUUUUAAAACAUACAUCUAGGGAUUGAAUUAGUGCAAGGGUUUUGAAGGUGUUUUCUUACUUGACUAUGUUAAGUGUUAAAUUUUCAAUGCAAAUAUACACGUAUGUGUAGAAAUUGAAAUGAGAACUGUCAACAGAGUAUGAAAAUAAGAAAAAAAACCAAUAUUUUGGCAUAUACAAUGUUCCACUUACAAAGCAUGUAACUUUCACAAUGCAAAUAAAUAUGUAGCAACCCAAUUCGAAAAGAGAAUUAAUGUCAACACAACAUAUAUGGAAAUAAUAAAAGAAACCCAAUAUUUUUGCUUGACUAUGUUAACCAAUAAAUUUUCAAUGCAAAUAUAUAUGUAGCCACACAAUUUGAAAUGAGAACCUGUCAUCAUAGUAUGAAAAUAUUAAAAUAAUAAAAGAAACCCAAUAUUUUGACAUAUACAAAGUUUCACUCAAAAAUUUUGUAAUUAGGAGCUAGUAUCUAACUCUUUCAAGGCCCACUAUCACCCUCAGGUCCAACAUACACAACACCCUUUUAGAUGUAUAAAAAACACCAUCACUUAAUAGGCCUCCAAAUGGAUCAGAUAUGAUCCGAGUCCAUUUUAAAUAUUCAUGAAUUGGUCUCAAAAUAAUUUCAUUGGCAAAUAUAAUGGGUUAUUUAUUGAAUCAAAUAUGGAUUUAGGUCCAUCCUACCUGUCUAUGAUCCAACCCCAUCAUUAUAUGUAUAUAUAAAAUAACAGUAAUAUAAUAUUUAAUACUAUAUACUCAAUAUGUUAUUUCCCAUCCUAUAUUUGCAUGUCUCUUAUGAAAAUAAAACAUUUAGAAAAAAUGUUAGUGAAUAUUUAUAAUUCUAUCAUAAGGUCUAAGGAUUCUAUGUCUAAUAUGAGCUUACCUAUUAUUAGUGUCAAUGUAUUUGAUCUCAUUUUUGUAAGUUAUGUAUUACAAUGCUGAUGUGAGCAUAUUUAUUAUUUUAAUUUACACGAGUCAACAUGUUUGACUUUCCCUUUUAUUGAUUUUACCAGGCUCCUCUAAUUUGUCUUUUUAAGUUUAUAUGGACGGUGCUUCUAAUUACCUAAACAUUAUGGGUGGUAAUGCUCGGAUUUCCACUGAUAUAAUUUAAAUUCAUUCAAAGAAUUUGUACAAUUUUAUGUAGAUAGCAUAUUUACGUCCUUUAGGUAAUUUGAAAUCAUAAUUAUUGAAGAAAUUUAGACUGUUAUUUAUAACUUAGUGUUUCUACCUUAUAAAUAUUAGUGUGAUUGUAAGGAUAGUGUUUCUACCUUAUACACAUGUGUAAUUUUAAGGAUAAAGAUGGUCAUAUAAUUGAUUGUUUAGUAUACUUUUCAAAUGAAAUAUAAUGUUCACAUAAAUUUAGAAUUAUAGUUCUUACUUUAUAUAUAUUUUUAAGCGGCCUACUUGAACUCUUUUGGACACGACGCUGCUAAUCAAAUUCUUAAGCUUGUUCCAAAUAUGGAGGUGGUUAUAGGUAUUCAUCUAAAUCUCAACAUUAAUAUUUCAUCAAUUUCUUUGACUUAAAUUUUGUUUGAUGUUAAAUGGAGAACUUUUAAACAAUCCUUGGUAGUCCUUUGGAGAUAUCUACAUAUACUGAAUGUCAUAAUGGGCAUAUCUCAAUUUGGAAAAAAGAUGUCAUAGAUAAAACAUAUAUGGAAAAUUAUCACAAUGGUACCCUAAUGAUUGUUUUUCACAAAUAAGCUUUUAUAUGUUAUCUACUACUAUCGAUCUAUUUUCUUCCCAGGAAAUUUAUUACAAUGCUACUCAAUAGGAUUAGGAUUACUUAUGAGAAUUUUGUUCAUUCUUUAAGGCACGCAAAUGCUUUUGCGGCAUGUAUAUAUUAUCAAUGCACAAUUGUGCAUAUUAUUAUAAUUUCUUCAUAUGAUGAUGUCUCAUUAAUUGGUUGCCCAAAAACAAUAUUGAAGCAACAUAAGUUUAAUUUGUAAUAUUUUAAUUUGUGUAUGUAAAUCACUUAGUAUAUACCGGCCAUUCUUGAAUGUAUCUUUUAUUUACAUGUAAACUUUUGGAGUAAGAAUGUUAUCAUGGAUCAAUUAUUUAUUAUUUCAUUUAUUUCCUAGUGGAAUAUUGUAGAUACUAUGUGGUCAGUGUCAUUUUUAUGCUAAUACUUAAAUGCAAAAUUAAAAUCAUGUGUACAUUAUGAAUAUCACAUUAGGCUAUAGUGGAAAAUAAUUGAAUGACAUAUACAACAUGUGAGCUACUUGCAUAAGAUAGCUAUCAAAGACGGGUUUUAUUUGGAACACACUAGCCGAUUUAUUUCAAUAAGUAAACGCAACUUGAUGGGACAAUUAACUAUAGAGUUCGGAACAUUACUAAGCUAGAGACCUGAUCUUAAAAUACGUAUAUUACCUUUUGCAUUAGUUAUAAUUUUGACUUUUUAAGUCCUCGAUGUGAAAUUUUUAACAAGAUUUGUUAUUCUAGUAAGUUGGAUGAUUAAAUGUGUUAUACUCAUUAUUCAAUUUAUAUUAGGUUGAGUACAUUACUAAAUCAGUAAAUUGAGCUCAGAACUCUGUCUUUGGGAUUCUUUAUUCAAAAUCUUGUCAUUCUUUGAAGCAUAUACCAAUGUCAUCUUCAAAUUAAUGUUUUUGUCUCAGAUGAGGAAGAUGUGUGAGCUUGGAAAGGUUGUGUGAAAUCUAAGCUUAGGCAACUUACUUUGAAGGUUAAUAUUUUACUUUGUUUAGGUAAAUGGGUGUUGUUUCUAGCUCAGUUAUUGGAUGUUUCUUUUCUUUCCUUUCAUUGUGUUCUUUCAUAGAUAGAACCUGAUCAUGAGAAUCGAGACUUAACAUUUUAUAUGGAUGGCGGCCGGGUCAAAAACAAAAAAAAUUAAUAUUAAUAAGUGAUCAAUGUUGGUUUUCACACAUAAAUAUAUAACAUAACUUUAAUAUUGUACUUGAAAGAAAUUAAAUAAAAUAUGAAACAGUUCAAAUUAAGCUCAUUUGUAAUUCUCAUGAAUCAUCUCUAUAUGAUAUAAUCAAGAGUAAACUUCAAAGUUAUGGCCAAAGUUUACACCGAUUUUUAAAAAGUUGACCAGAGUUCCAAAUUCUCAAAAAGAUGGCCAAACUUUGGCUCCGCUUUUUAAAAGUGUGGCUACCGUUAAAUGUCACUAACAGGAGCCUAACGGAAGCCACAUUUUUGAAAAGCGGACCAAAGUUUGGCCACUUUUCUGAGAAUUUGGAACGAAUAGAAGGGUAAAAAUGAGUUUCAUUAUAGUAUUGAUUCAUAUAGAAUCAAAUUAAGUCCAAAUAUGUAGUCAUUUGUCUCUAGACUUAUGUGUGAAAUCAUGGAUAAAUAUGUGCAACACUUGCUAAACGAACAUAUCAAUACUUUAUAAUAUUUUUAAAGCAAUUGUGAGCUACAAUACAUCAUAAUAAAGUUAUUUGUGGGAUAUAAAUUUAAUAUAUUGUCGAUUGUACUUCCUUUGCCUUCCUCUUGAAAGGCAUAAAAAUCCUUUGGUAAUCCAAGACAAUAUAUUAAAUUUAUAUCCUUUGGUAAUCCUUUGGCAUAAAAAUCUUGAUUAUUUUUAAAUCAUUAUGGCAUACUAUAUUGGGCUUGUGAAAUGGUACGCCAGGAAGGAUUUUGAUUGUCUUAUGUGCACGUGGUGGUGUAACAAAACCCUCGCCCUCUGGACUCGACUUUUGUUUAAAACUAGCGUUGCUCGUGCUAGUAUGCUAAUGUGUGUGGGACUGUGGGAGUAGGGGUCAUUUUGAGGAUAUAUUUUUAUAUUGCUUGAGUGUUUAAAUGGGAUUAUUUGUAUAUUGCUUGAGUGUUUAAUCUGUGCUUGGAACAGAUUUGGAUGAUCAUGGAAAUACUUCGUCUCCUCGGCACACUUCUGUCAAGUUUCACCUGCAGGACCAUAUUUGAAAAAGGUCGGGGUGAUCAUUUUGAGUGCAAGUUUAAUGUGUAUAAAUGAUCAAGCAUAUAACAAAUGAAUAUUAAUUCUGUGCGUACAUAUAUACCUACAUGAACACAAUCAAUAUUCGACAGAAAUUUAUCAAUAACCUUAACACGCACAUUGUUUUGGUGGGAUCGGCAUCAUUUUCCAUAAACUUUGUCAUCAAUCCGAUUGCAUAUAUAUAUACCUUCUAAUCAAAGUUACAUGUUAUGUUUACUUCCAAUGUAUCUCGAAAAUGUGAACUUAUAAGCAAUUCAACCCUCUUGACGGGAAGUUGCCUUCUAUAUUAUAUCUACAGCCCGGUGAUGUAUGCUUCUAUUCUUGCGGCUAAUCCUACAAAACACAAUCAGUUUGCUCUCGGGCUUAGUGAUGGUGGCGUACUUGUUAAAGAACUUCGGAGGAUAUUGGAAAUGGCUAUGUAGCAUGCCUUAGCUUUAGACCAACAACAAAUGAAAACUUGAUAUGACCUUUUGUGAUAAUGAGAGCCGGGUGUCUCUUAAAAUCUUAAUGUUUUAGCACAUACAUGUACAGAUUGGAUUAGUGCAAGGGUUUUAAAGAUGUUUUUUUGCUUGACUACGUUAAUUGAUAAAUUUUCAAUGCGAAUAUAUUUGUAGCCGCACAAUUUGAAAUGAUAAUUGUCAAUAUAGUAUGAAAAUAACAAAAGAAAUCCAAUAUUUUGGCAUAUACAAUAUUUUGCUUAUAAAGCGGGUAAUUAGGAGCUAGUAUCCAACCCAUUCAAAUAAAGCACAUGCCCACUAUCACCCUGAGGUCCAACAUACAAACACCCUGGUAGAUGUACGAAAAUCACAAAACACAAUUUAAAUGGACAUGGACUGAUUAAUUUCAAAAAAAUCGGAUCCAACAACAAUAAUCUAAUUAUUAAAAGGACCAUAUAUGGUUUUAGGUCAAUCCGAUCCGUCUAUGAUCGAACCCCAUCAGUAUAUGCAUAUAUAAAAGAAUAUUAAUAUAAUAUUUAAUAAUUAUAUACUCAUUAUGCUUCGCCGGUCUUAUUUAUGUAUGUCACUUAUAAAAAUCAAACAUUUAGAAAAAAUGAUACUGAAAUACUUAUAAUUCUAUUUUUAUAAUGAUAGUUUUGUUUCGACUUAAUUUAGUCAAACUAAUAAUUUUAAUCAACAAUUACAUAUUUUAAAAAACCAUGAAACUUUUUAGUAUAUAUUAUUCAAAUAUUUGACCCAAGGAUAACCUAAUUUUUUUUAAAAUUGGAUUAUGAAAUUGCAAAACAUAAUUAUUUAAUGGGAUCAAUACUUCCAAUUGACUAAGUAUGAGUCAAGGAUCCAUUGACAUAUAGUUCCAUAUUUAAAAAAAAUAAAAAGCCAUUUAAGCACAAUAACGGCGUCAAGUGCUAUUUUUACCCAAGACUUUGCUACUCCGGGUCUUAUAAAUCAAAUAUAUCAAUCCGCAAUAUUAGUACCCGCUCUCCAAUCCGAGUUGUUAAUAAUGCACGUAAGUGUGAUGAUACUCAGCUAUGCAGCUCUUUUAUGUGGAUCUUUAUUAUCCCUUAUGAAGUUCAAGGUACUCACUUUAAUCAAAAUUAAGAAUUACGGGAUUCUCAUUCGGGGAGAGACUACUCUAUAAUUUCACACAUUUUCUUGGGCAGUUUAUUUGUGAAAAUGUAUGUAUAGCAAAAAACGGACCACAUCUCAAAUCGGGUCAAGUUCUAAUUGUUAUAAAAUUGAUUCUCUAGUAAUACGAUCCGCUAAGCCUUAUUUGGCCACCUCAAGAGCAAGGGUUCAUGGCCAUUAUGAGAAAAUCCUUUACGAAAGAGAUACAUCAAUUACAUUUAUAUAUGAGAAAUUGCGAUCUCGUGAUAUAACACAAGGCCUUCCAAAAGUGGAACAGGUAUUAGAAGUGCGUUCGAUUGAUUCAAUAUCGAUGAAUCUCGAAAAGAGGGUCGAGGGUUGGCACGAAUGUAUAACAAGAACUCUUGGAAUUCCUUGGGGGUUCUUGAUUGGUGUUGAGCUAACUAUAGUGCAUAUCGCUUUGGUUAAUUAUAAGAUCCAAAAUAUUUAUCGAUCCCGGGGUGCAGAUCCAUAAUAGACAUAUAGAAAUUAUUACAUGCACAUCAAAUAAUAUAAAAAGUUUUGGUUUCUUACCCGAAACAAAGGAAUCAUAUGCAAGAACCAUAGCAUUUCGUGAUUUAUUGGUAAAUCCACUUUGAUUCUCUAUCAACCGAAAAUGGGGGACCAUUAACAUAAACUAUUGUUAAAGCUAAAUCGCUUGAAGUCCAGACGCAACAUGUUACUCUUUCUACCACUAUAUGUAUAGAGAUGUUUUCAAAAUGCCAAAUUGUAACGAAAAUUUUAGUUUAUUAACAUUAUUAACAAUGAAAAAUCCUGAAAUUUUUCUUCUUUGUUUUCAAAAAAACGUAUCAAAUUGAUGAGAAUGAAAGAAACAUCACACAACCCCUUAUUACAAUUACCCGUACUUUAUUGCUUAGUCUAGCUUUUAUGGAAGCUUUAACAAUUUAUGGUCUGGUUGUAGCAUUAGCACUUUUAUCUGCGAAUCCUUUUGCUCAAUUUAUAAUGUGAAGUUUAAAAGAAAAUCUUGUAUUCAAAGUAAUUUUGGAUUCAGUAUGGAUAAAAGAUCUUCCUAUGUUAUACUAUUUAACUCACGAAAUUGAAUUUAUUUGAUAGCCCAUGAAUCCGAUUUGGUUAUUAGUAAAGCUAAAUGAGCGAGGGUACUGCCACGAAAAUAUUAAAACCUCGAGCUGGUGUAGUUUUACUAUAAAAAGACCUACUUGCCAUAUAGCUAUUGUUGUGAAAAAUAUAUGAUUAGAUGAAUAUCAAUAUCUAGGGGUAGACUUUAUAGACUCUUUCCGAUGCUAAAAAAAAAAAACUUAAAUCGAUUGGGAUAAAGUUUUAUAUAUUUUUACAAAAAAAAAAAAAACUUAAAUCGAUUGGGAUAAAGUUUUAUAUAUUUUUACAAUUUGACCAAUUUAAAUAUUAAAAUGUGUUCAAUAGUGGCAUAUAGAUAUUAUGAGUGAGAUUUAGCAAAAAAAAAAAAAGAGUUAUUAUGAGUGAGGUAAAUGAGUGCUUCACUCCUUUAGUUAUAUAUAGCACUAUGUAAAAUUAUGUUUUUGUAGGUGAUAGUAAUCAUAUAUUUCCUUAUUAUUUGUAUCUUCAAUGGAACUUUCAUUAGGAGAAUUAUUAUGAUAUAAUUUCUUUUUUGAUCUUAUAUACUCAAUAACAAGUAUACAAUUAUAAGAUCAAUAUUUUCGACAAUUUUGACCAAAUUUACCUCCUAAAUUGCUCGCUAGAGACCAUCCAAUAUAAUUUUAUAGCCAGAUGUUUUGAUUGAUUAUAAUGAACACUUCUAAAAUUAUAUAUAGUUUUGAAUAAAAUCAUUAAGGUAAUUUAAUUUUGAAUACAUCAUCAUAAUAACUUGUAAUAUGUAAGUUUUCCUAGUCUUUAUUGAUCCUAAUGUAUUUGAUCUCAUUCUUGUAUCUAUUAUUUUAAUUCACACCCAUCAAUAUGGUGCCUUGGUGCUAGUAAUUAACUAAAGAUUGUGGGUGGCAAUGCGAAGAGCUUCUAAUGAUAUUAUUUAAAUUCAUUCUAAAAAUUUGUACAAUCUUAAGUAGGUAGAGUAUUUAGGUCCGUUAGAAAAUUUGAAAUCCUAAUUAUCGAAGAAAUUUUAGACUUUAAUUUAUACGAUAAGGUUAAUACCUUAUAAAUUACAUUAGUGUAACUUUAAGGAAAGUGUUUUCACCUUAUAGACAUUAGUGUAAUUUAAAAUAUAAGGAAGGCGGCAUAGUUCAUUUUUAGUGUAAUUUACAAAUAAAAUAUAAUGUUCACAUAAAUGUAGAAUUAUAGUUCUUACAUUUUACUCACGUCCCUUUUUAGUUGUCCCAUUUGGAUUUGUGCCGGUCAAAUUGACCAAGACUGAAAUUUUUUAAUAUUUUCUCAACUGAUAAAAUUAAAAAAAAAAUUCAUCGGAAAUAAUUUUUAAUCUACUUUAAGAUGUAAUUUUUAGUUUUUAAAAUAAUGAAAUAGUGACUUAUAUAUAAUCUUUGGUCAAAAAUUAGUCAAUUUGACCGAUAAAAAUAGAAGGGAAAUUACCUUGUAUACUGUUUUUUCAAUCUUAUUUUCAAAAAUACUACAUUCUCUAAAAUCUUUCAAAUAUACCAUCUUUUUGAAAAGAAUUCCAAAAAUACGGUGAUUGCAUAUGCAACCAUAUAUGCAACAACAAUUUCUGAUUUUAAAGAUGAGGUCGAAAAUGACAUUUGAAAACUAGAACUUGAAAUCAGAAAUUGUUGUUGCAUAUAUGGUUGCAUAUGCAACCAUGGUAAUUUUGGAAAUAUUUUCAAAAAGAUAGUAUACGUAUUCAGUUGAUUCUAUUGUAAUUUAAUGGCCCCGCCAGGGGCACCCAUACAUGAGUUGUAACUUACAGUUUUCAGUUGCAUUUAGUUGCAUAUGAGGUUGCAUUUUCGUAUGCAACCUCAUAUGCAACUAAAUGCAACUGAAAACUGUAAGUUACAACUGAUGUAUGGGUGCCCCUGGCGGGGCCAUUAAAUUACAAUAGAAUCAACUGAAUACGUAUACUAUCUUUUUGAAAAUAUUUCCAAAAUUACCAUGGUUGCAUAUGCAACCAUAUAUGCAACAACAAUUUCUGAUUUCAAGUUCUAGUUUUCAAAUGUCAUUUUCGACCUCAUCUUUAAAAUCAGAAAUUGUUGUUGCAUAUAUGGUUGCAUAUGCAACCAUGGUAAUUUUGGAAAUAUUUUCAAAAAGAUAGUAUACGUAUUCAGUUGAUUCUAUUGUAAUUUAAUGGCCCCGCCAGGGGCACCCAUACAUGAGUUGUAACUUACAGUUUUCAGUUGCAUUUAGUUGCAUAUGAGGUUGCAUUUUCGUAUGCAACCUCAUAUGCAACUAAAUGCAACUGAAAACUGCAUCAGUUGUAACUUACAGUUUUCAGUUGCAUUUAGUUGCAUAUGAGGUCGCAUUUUCUUAUGCAACCUCAUAUGCAACUAAAUGCAACUGAAAACUGUAAGUUACAACUGAUGUAUGACGUGCCCCUGGCGGGGCUAUUAGAUUGCAAUAUAAUCAACUGAAUGCAACCAUAUGCAACUGAAUGCAACCAUAUGCAACUGAAUACAACCAUAUGCAACCAUAUAUGCAACUUCAAUUCCUGAUUUCAAGUUGCAGUUUUCAAAUGUCAUUUUCGACCUCAUCUUAGGAAUCUCGAAAAUGACAUUUGAAAACUGCAACUUGAAAUCAGGAAUUGCAGUUGCAAAUAUGGUUGCAUAGGCAACCACCGUAUUUCUGAAAAUAUUUUCAAAAAAAUAGUAUUUUUAGAAAGAUUUUAGAGAAGAUAGUAUUUUUGCAAUUUGUUUUAAAAUGUGGUAGUAUUUUCGAAAAAGUUAUUUUAAACUUGGUUAUGAAUAAAAAAAGCCCACAAUAGAAAUGUGAUCACUAAAAAAGUACGGAGAAAAAGUAAUAUUUUUAAGUGGCGUUAUUCUAUAUCUACUAUAUGUAUUAUAAAGGUUAUUUAAUCAUGAGACAUAUUUUUUAGUGGCGUUAUUCUAUAUCUACUAUAUGUAUUAUAAAGGUUAUUUAAUCAUGAGAAAAUUCUUUCAGUUUAAAAAGACUAUCUAACCCAUUUCAACACUGCUCGAACGAAAGCAGAACUUUUUAUUUAAAAUAAGUGUUUUAUCCUUCAGGAGCUGAUUCGAAGCUGGUUCCUAACCUUGGCUUUCAGAAGCAAUGAUCAUUUCACCCAGUUCAUGCUCGACUCCUUCAGUCUUCCACAGCCACACUGAAGCACUGAUUCCACGAUGAUUAAGAGAAGUGUAUUUAUCUGAUUAACAAGUUUAUGUAUCUAUCUGAUUGUUUUAGAUCUGUUAAUUCUUCAUUUUGUGUACUUUUUCUGUUUAUAUGUUCUGUUGUCGGCCCUAGAUGUUUGGAUUGUUGUUAUUUUUUUGUGUGUAUUCAAUUGUUUCGUGUGAUAUGAAUGUGUUGUUUUUGUUCAUACGUCUGGUUGAUUUGUGCUUGUGCUUUAUUCGUGUUCUAAAUGUUAAUUGGAGAACCAAAUGAAUUAAGAAUUGAAAAUCUUUAGGUUUGUAUAGUUGUAACUGGUGAUUGGGGUGCAAUUCAGUAUUGAUAUGUAUUUCAAACGAAUUACUGAUAUGCAUCUGAGCAAAGAGUCGGGAGUGGUUGAUAUAAAUUUGUGUUCAACCUUUUCAGGUGAUCAGUAACAAGAAGUUACCCAAAUGAGGAUUCAUUAGACAAAUCCAUGGAGGUGAUAUUCAUUCUGAAUCUCGUCAUUUACGGCCAAUAUUAUAAAAUCCUGUGUCACUCAUUUCCUGCAAAGUUGUAUCUUAACUCACUACAACAAAACUGGCAUCAGACAACACUAGUCACACAACGGACGCUGGAAAAAGUGUUGGCCGAAACAAAGACACAACACUUUAUUUUCGUCCUCGAAAAACUAUUGUCUAACACCUACGACCUACAACGGUUAAAAAACUGUUGUCUAAUAAAUUUAAUCAGACAACGGUCUCUUAACUGUGGUAUUGUGUAAUGAUGCACGUUAGACAGCUGUUUUUAGAGCCGAUGUGUGAAGAAACUUCAGACAAUAUUCCGAGAAACCGUUGUUGUAAUGAGACAAGUGUUUUAUUUGUUGUGUUGUUUACGAAAAGGUCAGACAAGGGUUCCAUAGAGUGUUGUGUGACUGGGAAGUGAAAACCGUUGUCUGUUAGACACUACAGGACAAAAAAUACCUUUUCACAAAUAAAUAAAGUUACAAAUAUAUAUUCAUUUUCUUAGUAGUCAUAGGCUUUUCUAGCAUUAGAUCAAGUAUUGAUCAAGGAAAUGCAUUUUUAUAUUUUUUUUAUACGUGACUAAUAUUGUUAGUUCUUGACAUCCGUACGGUUAGAUCAUUGAAAUAAAUAUUUAUGAAUUAAUACAGAACUAAUUGAAUACAUAACAAAGAUUAUAUCUACUACUUUUUAAAUUGUAAACAUAAAACACAUACUAAUACAUGCGUCCGAAGUACAAAAUUGUCUCGGUUUUACACAUGAACAAUACAUAUUUGCAUAUAUACAUAACAUAAAUAUAUUUUUUUAAUACAAAGAGUGCAAAAACCAUAAACCGUUGUCUACACUACUUUUAUACAACGGAUUUUCCAUGAAGCGUUGUUUGAGCAUAAUGUAGACAAUGGAUUCUGUUACAACGGUAUAACUUUGGUAACAGUUGUGUCAUUUUCAAUUAUACAAUAAUAUUAUGCUCAUCUUAUACAUAACAAUUCUACAUCAACAAUUAAUAGGAUCAAUUAUUUUGUUUACUAGACACAAUAAUCCUACUAUAUUUUUGUAAAAGAUCAUAUAGGAUAAGUAUAAAAUAUUUAUUUUUUAUACCACUAACUUUUUAUAUAUUUAAAAAUCUAUUUUUAUGAUAUUUUGAUAAUCAACUAUAAAUAAAUACUUGAAAAGAAUUCAUUUUUUCAAUAAUUCAACUUCACAAUAUAUUAAAAUAUAAUAUUUUUAUUAUUUAUGAUUCAAUUUGGUAUCUCAGCUUUGGAGACAAGCCAUUUCAUUUUCCCCACAUAAUUUUUAGUCCCCCAGCAAUCCCAAAUUUUCAUUUCCCCCUCUAGCGUUAAACUCAAAUUUUGGUUUCCCCCUCCCUCUCUUUGUAUCUUUCUUCUUCUACAUCUCCGAUUAGUAUGUAGAAGGUGAACACAGUACACCAGAGAAGCUAUCGAAACAAGGGAAGCUUGCUCUUGCAUCAUAUUCCCUUACCCGCUUCCCCCUUUAUGCUUCUCUCUCUCAGGGGUCUCUCUUCUCUUCUCUCUCACGGGUCUCUCUUCUCUCUCUGGCCAUCUAGCUCUAUUCUCUUCUCUCUCUCCAAUAAUCUCUCUCGCUGUCUCUCUUCUCUGUCCGGCUCUUUCUUCUCUUCUCCCUCGAUGUCUCUCUUCUCUUUAUCCUCUUUUUGUUUGUGAUUAGGAUUUGUUUUACAUACUAACAGUUGUUUUUGGCUUGCUUUGUAAGUGGAGUGUGUUGAUUCUCUGAAGCAGCUAAAGGAGAAUAAGAAUUUGAUUCGCAUCUUCAUUCUGCUUUUGCAGGUCCAAACCCUAGAUUCUCAAUUUAUAUUUUUUUAAUCAAUUACAUAUUGAGUAUGAAUGUGUCAAUGAUUGUUCCCACACUACAAAUGUGUGUGUUUUAUAUUAUGCUUGCCAAAUCUUACUGCUUCUGUAAAUACUAUAUGUAAAUAUGAAAGUCUAUGUGAAGCAAAGGAUACAACAUAUAAGCCAAAAGUAGGCAGUGCUAACUAUUCUCUCUUGUUUUCUCUGCUAAAUUUAGAUCCCUUGUUUUCCUCUUUGUCAUAAGCUCAUCUUUUAAUUAUUAUUAUUGAUAAAUAUUUCACUUUGUUGUUUACAGGAAUGAUAUUGAAGUAGAAGCACUAGUGAUGAAUUGAGAAGAAUACCAGGUAUUAUAUAAACAAAAUUAAGUUAAGUUUUCACUUUGACUAUAUCAUAUUAAAGUGCUCUUUGUAAAUUCUGAUUAUAUGGCUGCCAGAUUAAUUAUUUUGCUUACCUUGUGUUUCAAACUUCUGGGAAGCGUAGCUAGCACUACCUUCCCUUCCCAAAUGGCCUGAAGGAUUGCUAAUAGCAUACAUGUGUAAGUGACACAAAUUGGGGGAGGAGCCCCUGCUGAAAUUUUACUCAGAACCAUUGAGUGUGUGACAUUUUAAUAUAUCAGUCCACACAGUUAACUAGUAAGUGAUAUUAUAAUUAAUUUAUACUUGUCAUUAUAUUAUUUUCCAAGUUCAAGUUAUAGGUAAGUAUGGUGUACUCUUAGUUCAUUUAAACAUGUUGAUAUCAGUGUCAACCAAAUGUAUUUCAAACCUCAUACAGAUUUUUGGUCUUGAUAUCUAGUAAGCUCUAUUCCUUGUGAACCUAUUCAUUUUGUAUUAAAUGUAUGUACGUGAAUAUUAUUCCUACUCAUAGAUCACAAGUGAAUUACUGGUGCUGCAACACUCUCUAUCAGAUUAGGUACAAGGGUGUUGGAAAGCAGUGUGGGCAAAUAAUUAUUGUCGUACCAUAUUGUAUAAUUGAUUCAAAGGCAGUUACCUAAAAUAUAGAUUUCCUGUAUUAGUCAAGAUAUGUAUGAUUUAAAUCCUUGUUUUGAGGAGCCUAUCAAGGCACUGAUGUAAUGUAUAGUUUGCAAUAGUCUAUGACAGGUCCUGAUUGGAACCUACCAUGACUGGUAAUUUUUAAAGCCUACAAAGUCCGCAUAAUGGCACCCUUCUUGCCUACAAUAAAGAUUAUAGUUUUUAUUAAUACUUUAUGUAGAUAUUGAGAAUCAUGUAUUUUAAGCUUGAAAGAAGUAACGACUAGUUACUUGUUAGUUUGUUUAUAGUGGUAGUGGUUAUUACAAGCUGUUUUCUUUUUACUCCUUUUUCUGGUGCUUAAUUGAUAUUCAAAUAUGUUAUAGGUUCAUGAUACAUCAGAUCCAGUGGUGAAGAAGUUAGGUGUUGACUCACUUCCUACUUUGGUUGGUUGGACUUCGAACUGGGAGAAGCAUAUCUUAAAAACAGGAAUCUCCGUAAAAGAUCUAAAAUCUGCAGUUCACGAUCUUAGUGGUUUACUUGAUGGUUUAGAGAAGAAGAAUAAAAAGGCUGGUUCAACAAGCAGAAAACAACAGACUGAACCUCUUUCUCCUUGGGUAUCAUCUACCUUGGUAGUUGAGCUUUUGUUAGUAAAAUCUGGUGCUUGCAAGCAAAUUGGGUGGAAAUGUGGCUGGUUUAAGAUAUUGUUUCUUUAAAUCUGUUGUUUUCUAUAGGUAGAACUACUGUGAGCGGUGACUCUUAGUUCAUUUAAACAUGUUGAUAUCAGUGUCAACCAAAUGUAUUUCAAACCUCAUACAGAUUUUUGGUCUUGAUAUCUAGUAAGCUCUAUUCCUUGUGAACCUAUUCAUUUUGUAUUAAAUGUAUGUACGUGAAUAUUAUUCCUACUCCUCAUAGAUCACAAGUGAAUUACUGGUGCUGCAACACUCUCUAUCAGAUUAGGUACAAGGGUGUUGGAAAGCAGAUUAGUUUCCAAUAGUCUAUGACAGGUCCUGAUUGGAACCUACCAUGACUGGUAAUUUUUAAAGCCUACAAAGUCCGCAUAAUGGCACCCUUCUUGCCUACAAUAAAGAUUAUAGUUUUUAUUAAUACUUUAUGUAGAUAUUGAGAAUCAUGUAUUUUAAGCUUGAAAGAAGGAACGACUAAUUACUUGUUAGUUUGUUUAUAGUGGUAGUGGUUAUUACAGGCUGUUUUCUUUUUACUCCUCUUUCUGGUGCUUAAUUGAUAUUCAAAUAUGUUAUAGGUUCAUGAUACAUCAGAUCCAAUGGUGAAGAAGUUAGGUGUUGACUCACUUCCUACUUUGGUUGGUUGGACUUCGAACUGGGAGAAGCAUAUCUUAAAAACAGGAAUCUCCGUAAAAGAUCUAAAAUCUGCAGUUCACGAUCUUAGUGGUUUACUUGAUGGUUUAGAGAAGAAGAAUAAAAAGGCUGGUUCAACAAGCAGAAAACAACAGACUGAACCUCUUUCUCCUUGGGUAUCAUCUACCUUGGUGGUUGAGCUUUUGUUAGUAGAAUCUGGUGCUUGCAAGCAAAUUGGGUGGCAAUGUGGCUGGUUUAAGAUAUUGUUUCUUUAAAUCUAUUUUUUUCUAUAGGUAGAACUACUGCGAGCGGUCUAAACUUAUUUGUGUUUGUAUAUUGUUACUGUAGUUGGCAAUGGAAACUUUUGUUACUAAUUUAUGGCUUCUUAAUUAUAUUCUUGAGCAUAGUUUAAUUAGGUUAUGUAAAACCAAUGUCCGACAUAACUAAAUACACAAGGAAAAAAAAGAAAAGAAAACAGUUGUCCCAAGCCUUACAAACAACACAAUAUUAAGAAUAAAAACGUUGUUUAAGACAUAUACAAACAAGUAAAUAGUAGUCACAAACCAUUGUCUAAAGCAAUAUUACUCGAGCAUCUGAAAAUAAAAACCGUUGUAGAAAAGCUUUCAAGACAAUUGUUCUAAUAUACAGACUAUUGUUAUAUGGGGCCUUACACAAGUGGCCCCUUCUACAAGACCGUUGUACAAUGUAGUAAAACACAAGCCGUUAUGACACAAAUAUUCUUGUCUGAUACUCUUACUAACAAGUGAGUAAAACCAAAAACUGUUGUGGAUACUCCUAAUAACAACACAAAUUGAAAAUAUGACUGUUGUUGUGAAUUGCUUAUAACAACACCUUGUUAAAUGAUUCCGUUGUUGUUUCCGGAUGUAACACAACACGCAGAAAAACAUAAACCGAUGUGUUUCUUGAUCUCACACAACGGUACGUACCGUUGUCUGAGGUGCGUAUCAGACGGCAUCUCAAUAGACCACGGUUUUCUUGGGUAUCAGACAACGGGCAAAAACCGUUGUUUGAUGCUGUUUUUGUUGUAGUGACUAGAAUCAGUUUGUGUUAAUCAUGUUAAAUUGAAACCUUUUUCAGAGUGAUAGAAGAAUAUGUGGCAGAUUGAUUUGUUCUGUAGCCAAAGAAUCUCCACAGCAAGUCGAAGAAACGACCAUGGACGUGCGAAAGAAAUUUUUCUGAAAGACUACAAGUCACCUGAUUAUUGUUUUGGCACUGUAAGAUACCUUAGCUCCUCAUCUGGAAUGUCUAAACUGCUUGAACAUACAAUUUGUGAGCUUCCAUAUUUGAUAUAUGAAAUUACGUACUUGAGUUGAUGCAUAUGCAUGCCAGUUCAUGCUCAGGUGGAUCUUAAAUUUACACUAGGUGAGGAACAAACAGUUGGCUGCUCCAACGUAAGUGUUUAUUCGAGAGUCGAAGGUAUCACUAACAACUAAUUCUUCUUCAGUAUUUGGAUAUUUUCAGAUUAUCUGGCUUGCCACAAUCAAGAGUUUGCUAUAACGAGUAAGCUUUAAACCGAGUAGAAGUAUAGAACAACUUGAGCUGAUUUUUUAUAGCAGUUUAGAGACUUUAAAAUACAGAUUUUCCUGAUAUUCUCAGGUUGUGUUUCUCGGUUGGUCUUAAAUGGUGAUGAUCACAAGCAGCUUUUAGUGAAGGUCAGAAUUGCAAGGAGCUGAAGGUUUGCCUUUAUUUAGUACAAUUUCUUGUAGUCUAGUGUUUAGCGAUGUCAGCCUUGUACUUCUGUUGCUUUUGAUAUAUUCUGAUUCUGUUUCUGCAAGGUUGAACUUGAACAUUUUACCCUAUUCUAGAACAGUCUGAGACACAUGAGUAUUAAAGAGAUAUUGAGCUUCAUCCAUCUAAUUCCCAGAAAUUUUUAUUGUAUGAAUGUGCUUCCUAACACUAUAAUUACAUCCAGGAGAGCGACAUCUAUAUGGAUUCACGGCAUCUGUUCUUUGUCUUUUGACAAUAUUAGUUCUGAAUAUUUGAUGCAGGGUCUUUACCGGUCAUUAGGAAAUUUCUGCACACAAUGUGAAGCAGCGGAUUUUCGGACUAUCCUAAUUGUCGUAGUGUAUAAGAUGUAAAAACUCUUCAAUGUCAUGAGUCUGAUCAAGUGCCCCCUCAUUUCAACGAUCCAGUGAUACACUUUGGUAUCUCUGCUCCUUAUUUUAUCCGGCCUUCAACAUAGGCAUUUCAUUGGGUUACUGAUUCUGCAGAUAUUGAAGAUAGACUUUCCAAAGCUAUAAUGUCAUUUGACAUUGAAGAUGAAUAAUUCAAAUUUUUAACACGGAUGGAUCCUCUUAUAAUUCCUCUUGAAGAGCGAGUGAUUAUCGAAAUAUUAAAUGACUCACUUUCAUUGGUUGUUCCUCACAAAAGUUUUCUCAACUCAAGCUUUUAUAUAUGGGUGAUGGGUGACUACAGGAAAUAGGUAUCUUGGACUAGGCGGUCCAUCACCCAAAUAUAAAAGCUUGAGUUUAGAAAACUUGUGUGAGGAACAAACAGUGAAAGUGAGUCAUUUAAUGUAUCGAUAAUAACUGGCUCUUCAAGAGGAAUUUUAAAAGGAUCUAGCCAUGAAAAAAAUUUGAAUUGUUCAUCUUCAAUGUCAAAUGACACUACUGCUUUGGAAAGUCUAUCUUCAAUACCUGCAGAAUCAGUAACCCAAUGAAAUGCCUAUUUUAAAGGUCAGAUGAAAUAAGGAGCAGAGAUACCAAAAAGUAUCACUGGAUCAUUGAAAUGAGGGNCAGAAUCAGUAACCCAAUGAAAUGCCUAUUUUAAAGGUCAGAUGAAAUAAGGAGCAGAGAUACCAAAAAGUAUCACAGGAUCAUUGAAAUGAGGGGAACUUGAUCACGCUCAUGACAUGGAAGAGUUGUUACAUCAUGUGCACUACGACAAUUAGGAUAUUGGACAAAUGAUCUUCCUAUAAUGACACUAAAAUCCAAAAACGGAAGAACACUCCAGUUUUUUGUAUUUCACUACAUUCUGCAUUUAUGUUGAAACUUUGGAAACAGUUAUUCUGCAUUCUGUAUUUCACUACUCCAGUUUUUUGUAUUUCACCUGGGAUAUUGAAUAUGCAGGAAGGGCUGUUCAGUGAUGUAAUUCCCUACCCUUGCAUAGUAUAUCUAUUAACACUGCGUGACCUAAUAUCUGAAGCAUUGUAGAAGAAUAAUAAAUUAUAACUUCCGGUUAAAAGUAUGAAAGGAAAUAUCUCGGUAAUAGUUUUGAAAUGUUACCCGCAGAUUAACACUAACUUAUGUUGCUUUUUUGAGCUUUGUCUACUUUACUUUGUAGCGCACACACUGUUCAGUUAAAGCAAUGUGGCCUUCGGGAGCUUAAUUUGCUCUAGUUUACUUUUUAGCACACACUAUUCAGUAAAACCUAAUGUGGCUUUUGGGAGGUUUGCUCUCUUUUGUAUAGUAGGGCACACAUCCAUGUUGAGUAAAAACUAAUGUAACAUGUGAUGGGAGCACAACAAUUUUUUGAAGUUGAUUAUUAUUAGGUACAUUUUCUAUCACUAACCACCACAACAAUAAUGUCUGCAUUCCAUAUAUAUAUAUAUAUAUAUAGGGGCUGUUAUACAGCCACCGUUGGAUAGGGAACCACCAGAUCUGGGCCGUUGGAUGACAAAGACUCCCCGCAAUGAAACAUUGCGGGUACUCAAGACCCCGCAAUGUUUCAUUGCGGGUACUUAAGUCCCUGCAAUGAAACAUUGCGGGUACUUCAGUCCCUGCAAUGUUUCAUUGCGGGGAACUCUGAAACAUUUUACUUUCCUAAACUAUCCUUCCACUACUUUAGUUUUAGUUAACAUUUUUACUUUCAUUUUAAAUUUUAAAUUAUUUUUAUUCAUUUUAAAUAUACGAUUAUCUUCANNNNNNNNNNNNNNNNNNNNNNNNNNNNNNNNNNNNNNNNNNNNNNNNNNNNNNNNNNNNNNNNNNNNNNNNNNNNNNNNNNNNNNNNNNNNNNNNNNNNNNNNNNNNNNNNNNNNNNNNNNNNNNNNNNNNNNNNNNNNNNNNNNNNNNNNNNNNNNNNNNNNNNNNNNNNNNNNNNNNNNNNNNNNNNNNNNNNNNNNNNNNNNNNNNNNNNNNNNNNNNNNNNNNNNNNNNNNNNNNNNNNNNNNNNNNNNNNNNNNNNNNNNNNNNNNNNNNNNNNNNNNNNNNNNNNNNNNNNNNNNNNNNNNNNNNNNNNNNNNNNNNNNNNNNNNNNNNNNNNNNNNNNNNNNNNNNNNNNNNNNNNNNNNNNNNNNNNNNNNNNNNNNNNNNNNNNNNNNNNNNNNNNNNNNNNNNNNNNNNNNNNNNNNNNNNNNNNNNNNNNNNNNNNNNNNNNNNNNNNNNNNNNNNNNNNNNNNNNNNNNNNNNNNNNNNNNNNNNNNNNNNNNNNNNNNNNNNNNNNNNNNNNNNNNNNNNNNNNNNNNNNNNNNNNNNNNNNNNNNNNNNNNNNNNNNNNNNNNNNNNNNNNNNNNNNNNNNNNNNNNNNNNNNNNNNNNNNNNNNNNNNNNNNNNNNNNNNNNNNNNNNNNNNNNNNNNNNNNNNNNNNNNNNNNNNNNNNNNNNNNNNNNNNNNNNNNNNNNNNNNNNNNNNNNNNNNNNNNNNNNNNNNNNNNNNNNNNNNNNNNNNNNNNNNNNNNNNNNNNNNNNNNNNNNNNNNNNNNNNNNNNNNNNNNNNNNNNNNNNNNNNNNNNNNNNNNNNNNNNNNNNNNNNNNNNNNNNNNNNNNNNNNNNNNNNNNNNNNNNNNNNNNNNNNNNNNNNNNNNNNNNNNNNNNNNNNNNNNNNNNNNNNNNNNNNNNNNNNNNNNNNNNNNNNNNNNNNNNNNNNNNNNNNNNNNNNNNNNNNNNNNNNNNNNNNNNNNNNNNNNNNNNNNNNNNNNNNNNNNNNNNNNNNNNNNNNNNNNNNNNNNNNNNNNNNNNNNNNNNNNNNNNNNNNNNNNNNNNNNNNNNNNNNNNNNNNNNNNNNNNNNNNNNNNNNNNNNNNNNNNNNNNNNNNNNNNNNNNNNNNNNNNNNNNNNNNNNNNNNNNNNNNNNNNNNNNNNNNNNNNNNNNNNNNNNNNNNNNNNNNNNNNNNNNNNNNNNNNNNNNNNNNNNNNNNNNNNNNNNNNNNNNNNNNNNNNNNNNNNNNNNNNNNNNNNNNNNNNNNNNNNNNNNNNNNNNNNNNNNAACACUACCAGUACCAAAGAGAAUUGGAAAAAGUGAAUAAUUUGUAAUAAAAUAAUUCAACUUUAACUACAAAAAGUUAAUUAACCUUAAAAGAGCAUGUGAGCUACAUAGUUCAAACAUGUGUUCGAUAUAUUUAGGAAACAAGCAGUAGUAUUCAAAUAAGUAAAAUUAUUAGUAUAACAAAAUGACAUAAAAUAGUUAAUAAGAUAAAAAUAUAUAGAAAUUAGAUAGAAAAUUAUUCAUAUAUUGUACUAAGAAAAAUCAAAAUUUUCUCUUAUUUCUAACCUUAACAAUAUAUAUAUAUAUACAUAUAUAUAUAUAUAUAUAUUUUUUUUUUUGACAAACUUUAACAAUAUUUUUAGUUUAAUUUAAAAAUGUUAAAUGAUAACAAUUUAAUAUAAUAAACUCUACAAUGCAUAUGAUAUGUGAAGGAAGGGGUAAAAGGGUCCAGCGAAUAAAAAGAGACUCCCUGCAAUGAAACAUUGCGGGGACUUGUAUACCCGCAAUGAUUCAUUGCGGGGUCUUUCAUACCCGCAAUGUUUCAUUGCGGGGUUGCAAUGUUUCAUUGCGGGGAGCUUUUUUUUAGCCGUAGGAUCACAAAAUGGAGGGACGUGAUCUGGUGGCUGGAAACCGGACCCUAUCCACCGGUGGCUGUGGACCGGUUUCCUAUAAAUAAAGAAGGUAGAGAAUAUGCUAAAAAAAAUUCAAUCAAACUAACCGCUUCUCUUGUCUAGAAAUUUUGUUAAUCCCACGAUAUUGAUUAUAUUCGUAAAAAAUGAAAACGUGUAUUGAUUAUAUUUGUCGAAUUUUAGAAACAUGUAAGAAGAUUCAAAAUUAUGUNNNNNNNNNNNNNNNNNNNNNNNNNNNNNNNNNNNNNNNNNNNNNNNNNNNNNNNNNNNNNNNNNNNNNNNNNNNNNNNNNNNNNNNNNNNNNNNNNNNNNNNNNNNNNNNNNNNNNNNNNNNNNNNNNNNNNNNNNNNNNNNNNNNNNNNNNNNNNNNNNNNNNNNNNNNNNNNNNNNNNNNNNNNNNNNNNNNNNNNNNNNNNNNNNNNNNNNNNNNNNNNNNNNNNNNNNNNNNNNNNNNNNNNNNNNNNNNNNNNNNNNNNNNNNNNNNNNNNNNNNNNNNNNNNNNNNNNNNNNNNNNNNNNNNNNNNNNNNNNNNNNNNGAUACUAAAUUUUUGAUCUUUUAUCUUAAAAAUAUUCUUUCCUUCUCUUUUAGUUUCAAAUACUUUGAUUCACAUGUGUAUUGUUGAUGUGAUUUAUCUCUCUUGUAAUACUACCCAUUUACAGUUUGUAAAACUAGUUAUUACUAUUCUAUACUUUUACUACAAUCGGACCAUGGAAAAAAACUUUUCCCGGCCACCUGCUGCAACUUCAGUUAUGUUCUAUCCCGAGGAAAAUAAUAUCGUUAUCGUUGGCAGGGAGGAUGGCUCUACACUAAUCUAUGGUGUUCAGAAAGAUAUGGUCUUUAUCUAUAUAUAUUGAAAUCUAAGUGUUGUCCAUUAAAAAAGAAUUAUCAUUUAGCUAUAAUGUUCUUAUUAUCUAUUUGGCUUAUAUAGAUGAUUGCCAAGAUAAUGCUCUUAUUAUCUAUUUGGCUUAUAUAGAUGAUUGCCAAGAUAAUGCUCUUAUUAUCUAUUUGGCUUAUAUAGAUGAUUGCCAAGAUAAUGCUCAUCAGAAGAGAGUGACUGGCCUUGCUUAUUCUAGUGCAUUGAAUAUCCUUUUAUCGUCUGGAUAAGAUGCUCAGGCACAUUUUUAAAGUGGAAGGCUAAUAGAAGAUAUCAGAUGCAUCGGCAUAUUUCUGUCAAGUGUCACCAGGACCCAAGACAUUUGUUGGUUGUACAUGAAAGUUGUAUAGCCACUCCUGAGAUACCUAAUCUCGAGCCCUGCAAGCAGGUAUCUACAAAUUAUUUGCAGUGUUGACAAUUAAUUUAUAUGCUUUGUUGAAUAUAACAACAUGCUUAAUUCACCCACGCUUUAUUAGACCUUAUUUGAAAGAGGUCGGGGUGAUCAUUUUGGGUGCAACUAUAAUGUGUAUUAAUGAUCAAGCACAUAACAAAUAUAUAUUAAUUGUGUGUGUACAUAUAUACCUACAUGAACACAAUCAUAUUCGACAGAACUUGACAUUGAUUUUUCUAAAAUAGCCCCUGGUUCAAUAUCAUGUCGCUCCGCUAUUUAGAGAUCUAAGUUCUUCAUGACAGAAGAAAAUUCUUAAGCUCUUUAAAUAUUUCUUUCAGUAGAUUCCCCGGGAAUUGAUCAGUGAUGCUGCAUACAUAUUCAUGUGAUGGCCAGUCUAUAUAUGCCUGCUUUCUUAACAGGCACAUUGUUUCCUUGGACUCAGCAUCUUUGACCAUAAAAUUUUUUAUCAAUCCGAGUGCAUAUUUUACCUUCUAAUUAAAGGUACGUGUUAUGUUUAAUUAAAAUGUAUCCUGAAAAUAUGAGCUUAUUAGCGAUAACACCCACUUGACUAUUGGAAGCUGCCUUCUAUAUUAUAUCUACAGCCGGGUGAUGUCUGCUUCUACUCUUGCGGCUAAUCCUACAAAACACAAUCAGUUUGCUCUCGGGCUUAGUGAUGGUGGCGUACUAGUUAUAGAACUUGAGGAAGAGGAUAUUGGGGUUGGCAUUGUAGCACGCCUUAGCUUGAGACCAGCAACACCUGAGAACUUAAUAUGAGCUUUUGUGAGAAUCAGAGCCCAGUGUCUCUUGAAAUCUAUAUGUUUUAAAACAUACAUCUAGGGAUUGGAUUAGUGCAAGAGUUCUGAAGUUUUUUUUUUUUGGUUGACUAUGUUAAGUGAUGAAUGUUCAAUGCAAAUAUACACCUAGUGCGGAAUUUGAAAUGAGAAUUGUCAACAGAGUAUGAAAAUGAGAUAAGAAAGACAAUAUUUUGCGAGAUACAAUGUUUCACUUAUACAACCUGUAAUUUUCAAUGCAAAUAUACACGUAGCUUCCCAAUUUCAAAAGAGAAUUAUCAAAACAAAUAUGCAAAUAUACAUGCUUGACUAUGUUGAUUGAAAUUUUUUUAAUUCAAAUAUACAUGUAGAAGCAGAAUAUGAACUGAGAACUGUCAUCACAGUAUGAAAUAUGAAAAUAAUAAAAGAAAUUCAAUAUUUUGGUAUUCGGGAUGUCCGAUACCACACAUUUCCGAGUAUUGGAUUUGGCAUUAUCGAAAAUUCCGGACACAGUUACAAUAUCCAAGUUAAUUUUGGACAUGGAUACGGUGACGUAGCGAAUUUUAAAAUAAUUAUUUAUUUUCAUUUGAGAAAUAAAUAAAUAUAUAUAUAUAUAUAUAUAUAUAUAUUUCAUUAUUUUUUAGCUGAAAAUGUGCAUUUGAUUGAUUUAUAAAAUCCAAAAAUUAACAACUAUAACAAAUGUAUUAAACAUUUUUCUUGCCAAUAUUCAUGUAAGCAAAAAUUAUGCACAACAAAAUAAAAAAAGGGAAAAAGGAAACAGCCUGGAUAAUGAAUGUGGACUUAAAAAAGUCCGAAUACAUUUUUAAUAUAUAAUACAUCUCAAUACAUGUAUUCCUCCAUCUUUUCACCCUUUUACUAUCAUCUUAUUCAUUUCUCUCCACCUUUUCACCACUUCUCAUCUUCUUCUUCCUGUUCCCCAUCUUUCAUAACAUCGCUUCUUACACAAUUCGUUCUGUAAUUCUCAAUGAUCUUUGAUUUUGAUUUCUCUGGUAACCAUCGACUUUUCCGAUGAUGAAUGGGCUGUAUAGAGCUUUCAACGGAGCAGUCCGGCCUCUAUCUGUUAGGAGGAGAAAGGUAUUUACUGGAAGGAAAAACAGAAUAAUAUAUUUCUUGAUAAUUGGCUUCACAUAACAAAAUGAUUUUAGAGCUUAUUAUCUAUAGCUCUACUAUAUCAGAUACAUGAUUGCAUAAUAAGUACUAGAUACAUAAAUUAUCAAUAAAUGAAACUCCUGGUCUUUUAUUAUUCAUGACAUAUAUCUGAAACUUAUGGUCUUCCUUUAUUCAGCUACUAACCCUUCAACUCCAACUAGCUAGGUUGAUAUCUCAUGACUCAUGACUAGCUCCUGAUGGGUCAAGUUUAACUUUCAACACCCCCUCUUAAACUUGAUCUUCCUUUCCAACUCCAAUCCAAGCUCGGAGUCUGAAAAAAUCUUCAAACUUUAAGGGUUUUGUAAAAAUGUCGGCGAUCUGAUCAUUUGUCUUCCUCCACUUCUUUAUUUUCAACACAUUCCCUUAUGUAAUGAUAUUUGGUGUCUAUGUGUUUACUACGGUCGUGAAACACUGGGUUCUUUGCCAGAGCAAUUGCAGACUUAUUAUCAACAUAUAUCGAUGUUGCCUUCUCUUGAGGAACUUGAAUCAUCUUUAACAGCCUUCUUAGCCAUAUUGCAUGACAAACACAUGACGCAGCAAAAACAUACUCAGCUUCACAAGUGGAGAGAGUCACUAUAGGCUGUUUUUUUUUGAACACCAUAUAAAAGCAGUAUCUCCCAGAAAGAAUAUGAAGCCAGUGGUGCUUUUUCUAUCAUCAAUAUCUCCUCCCCAGUCGCUAUCACUAUAGCCAUACAAUUCAAAUUUUUUUGAUGGAAAAUAAGUAACACCAAAUUCAAGCGUACCUUUGAUAUAGCGAAGUAUCCUCUUGGCCAACCUCAAAUGAGUCAGAGUAGGUGCUUCCAUAAAUCUACUUAUCAAACCAACUCCAUAAAGGAUAUCCACGUCAAGUAUCUGAGACUUCCUACUAAACUUUUAUAAAAUGUUGGAUUGCAAUUUUCCAUUCCAAAAUUUUUGAGAAUUUUUUGUGCAUAAGCUUUCUGUGAAACAAAGAUCUGGUUUUUCUUUUGUCUUAUUUCCAUUCCCAAGUAGUAUGACAUGAGACCAAGAUCUGUCAUUUUGAACUCCAGUGUCAUUGCUUUCUUGAAUUCUUCGAUCAUCUGAGCAUUAUUUCCUGUGAAUAUUAAGCCAUCCACAUACAAACACACCAACAUAAAACCUGCAUUUUCAUCAUUUUUAACAUAUAGCGCAUGCUCAUCUGGACACUUGACAAAUCCAUGAUCUCGAAAAUAUUUAUCAAUUCGAUUAUACCAUGCUCGGGACGCUUGUUUGAGCCCGUACAACGCCUUCUUUAACUUUAAGACUUUAUCUUCAUGACCUUUAACAACGUAUCCUUCAGGUUGUUGAAUGUAUACAUCCUCUUCGAGAUAGCCGUUUAAAAACGCUGAUUUCACAUCCAUUUGAAAUAUAUUCCACAUAUUUUGAGCAACCAUAGAAAUGAUUAAUCUAAUGGUUUCCAAGCGUGCAACAGGAGCAAAAACUUCUUCAUAGUCAAUUCCUUGCUUCUGACUAUAUCCCUUGGCGACGAGUCUCGCUUUAUUUUUUAUUACAUCUCCUUGUGCAUUCCUCUUCACCUUAUACACCCAUUUCUUGUGCAUUCCUCUCCACCUUAUACACCCAUUUCACGCCAACUGUUUUAUGACCUCUAGGAAGUGUAGUGAGCUCCCAUGUAUCAUUCCGUUUGAUUGCUUCGAUUUCCUCAUCCAUUGCAAGCUUCCAAUCUUUAUCCAUCUUAGCACUUUCAAAAUGCAGUGGUUCUGUUUCAGAGAACAAACAAAAGCAGCUCGGAUUGUCAUCGACAUAAAAACUUGGAGUAUCAACCACAUUUGUUUCAAUAUAAAUAUCAGAAAGCCUUCUCGUAUGAAGUGGUUCUUCAGAGGAUUCAUCACUUGAUGAUGAUUGAGAAGCAUUAGGUGAAUGAGGUAGUGUGGCUAUAUUUUCUCCUUCAUUUGAAUUUUCUUCUUGUAGAGGAAAGACCACAAAAUCUUCAUCUUGAGGCACAUCCCAAUCCCAGCUAUUUUUUUCAUCAAACUGAGCAUUUCGACUAAUAAUAACUUUUCCAUUAACAGGAUUAUAAAAUUUGUGCCCCUUUGUACCUGGAUCAUAGCCGAUAAAAACCAUCUUCUCACUCUUAUUUUCAAGCUUUGAUCUUUUUUCAUCAGGAACAUGAAUGUAGGCUAUGCAUCCAAAGACACGCAAAUGUGAAACAUUAGGCUUUUUACCACUCGAGGCUUGUUCUGGUGUUGCGCCAUAAACACUCUUAGAUGCUGAUCUAUUUGAUAAAUACACUGCACAUGCUACUGCUUCAGCCCAAAAUUCCUUUGGCAUGUUCUUGCUUCUAAGCAUGCUACGAACCAUGUUCAAAAUGGUUCUGUUCUUUCGCUCCACAACUCCGUUCUGCUGCGGAGUUCUUGGCACAGUGAGAAAACGGCGAAUUCCAUUAUUUUUGCAAUACUGAUUAAAAUCAGUAGAAGUAAUUCUCCUCCUCGAUCUGUUCUCAAAGUUUGGAUAAAAUAUCCACUUUCCUUCUCAACAAGAGCUUUAAAUUGUUUAAAAAUUCCAAAAGCUUCAUCUUUAGUUUUCAAAAAAUAAACCCAUGUCUUGCGAGAAAAAUCAUCAAUGAAAAGUAAAAAAUAAUUUGCCUUACCAUAUGAUGCAGGUCUGAUAGGUCCACAAAUAUUGCAUGAACAUGCUCGAGAGGCUUAGUUGCUCGAAAAAUCGCCUUUUGUGGAAAACUUCUUCUUGUUUGUUUACCAAAGAGACAUCCUUCACACAGAUGAUUGGGAUGAUUGAUUUUUGGGAAUCCAUACACUAUUUUUGCAUUAGACAGCAACUUCAAACUUUCAAAAUUUAGAUGGCCAAAUCUCAAGUGCCAUAUCCAUGAAGUAUCUUCCACACAAGUUUUCAAGCAUUUUGGAUGAUCAACUUCAAUUUUCAACAAAAACAUUCUGUUUUUCUCCAUUGGAACUUUUGCGAUUAGCAAGUUUGAGUCAUUUCUCAAGGUUAGAUAAUUAUCUUUCAUGUGAAUAUUAAAACCCAUCUCAAGCAAUUGUCCCAAACUUAAUAUAUUUGUCUUUAAAUUAGAAACAUAAUAAACUUGAGAAAUUAAAAUAUGAUUUCCACUUCUGGAACGAAUAAGAACAUCACAUUUUCCUUUGAUUAGUGCUUUGGUGUCGUCUCCAAAGGUAAUAUUUCCUGAAGCCAUUGCACUAAAAGUUGAAAACAACUCUUUGUUUCCACUCAUGUGAUUUGCAGCACCUGUAUCAAGAUACCAAACAUUUUUAUCUUUUUCUUCUCUCGUUCCCAAUAAUAAGAGCAAUUCUUCAUCCUCCUUUGCUUCCACAUAGUUGGCUCGUUCAUCUUUUUUUAUCAUUAUUUGGGCUUCUGCAUUCAUUGGCGUAAUGACCAUAUUUUUGACAAGCAUAACAUUGAAUGCUUGUUUUGUCAUACCUUCUGCCUCUGCCUCUGCCUCUGUUAGCACUUUGACUCCCACGUCCUCUUGAGUAGCUCAUUGUUCUUUCAUUGCUAAAAUUCUGGCCUUCUGUAGAACAACCACGACCACGGCCACGACUAAAACUUGCAUGCCUUCCUCUGCCACGACCUCUUCCUUGUCCAUGAUUUUGACCUCUUUUUUGAAAUCGCUCCUCUUCUCUAUUUUCUCCAAAGGAGACCUUUGUUUGAAGAGCAUGAAAAUCAGGUUCUUCUUUCUCUAUUACCCUUUCUGCAUAAGCUUGUAAUGAUCCCAUGAGUUGAUCUACUUGCAUGGUAUCAAUGUCGUUUGCCUCUUCAAUGGUGACUCCAACAAGUCGUAACUUGGUAUUAAGGGAUCUGAGAAUUUUCUCGUUAAUACGUACAUCAUCAACCUUUUCUCCAUAUUGCUUCAUUUGAUUCACUACUUGUGAUACUCUUGUGAAGUAAUCUUGGACUGAUUCAGUCUCCUUCAUUUUUAAUGCUUCAAAUUCACCACGAAGAGUUUGAAGACGUACCUUUUUUACUUUGUCGAUUCCUUUAAAAUUAUUCUGUAAUAUUUCCCAGGCUUCUUUCGCUUUUCCUGCUGUAGCAACUUUCUCGAACAUGGCUUCAUCUAAGCCCAUGUGAAUGAUAGAGAGAGCCUGUUGAUCUUGCUUGCGGGCUUUUGCCAGGGCAUUUUUCUGAUUUUGAUUCAAAGCUCCUUCAUUCUCAGGUUCAUCAUAACCUUUUUCAACAAUAUCCCAGGCUUCCUGUGAGCCUAGCAAAGCUUUCAUACGGAGACACCAAUGACCAUAGUUUUCCUUUGUAAGUUUAGGAACAACAAAUGGAAAUGAAUUACUCAUUACUUUCUAAGCUCUGAUACCAAUCUGUUAGCAGGAGAAAGGUAUUUACUGGAAGCAAAAACAGAAUAAUAUAUUUCUUGAUAAUUGGCUUCACAUAACAAAAUGAUUUUAGAGCUUAUUAUUUAUAGCUCUACUAUAUCAGAUACAUGAUUGCAUAAUAAGUACUAGAUACAUAAAUUAUCAAUAAAUGAAACUCCUGGUCUUCUAUUAUUCAUGACAUGUAUCUGAAACUUAUGGUCUUCCUUUAUUCAGCUACUAACCCUUAAACUCCAACUAGGUUGAUAUCUCAUGACUCGUGACUAGCUCCUGAUGGGUCAAGUUUAACUUUCAACACUAUCCUGUUUCUUGUCUUGUGUCGUGUCGUGUCGACACGGGUACGUUGAACGGAAUAGGCGAGUCGGAGUAACACAGCUAAGCAAUGAAGAAAAUGCUUCAAAACUUGUGGUAAGAAUGUGAGAGUAUUUAAUUAUAUGAAAUCUUGAUAAUUAAAGACCGGAGUGUAUAUGAUGUAACAACUCUUGAAUGUCAUGAGGCUGAUGAUCAAGUGCCCCCUUAUUCCAAUGAUCCAGUGAUACUCUUUGGUAUCUCUGCUCCUUAUUUUAUCUGUCCUUUAAAGUAGGCAUUUCAUUCAGUUACUGAUUCUGCACCUAUACUGAUCUAUGAUGUUCAGAAAGGUAUGGUCUAUACUAAUCUAUGGUGUUCAGAAAGAUAUGGUCUUUAUCUAUACUGAUAUCUAAGUGUUGUGCAUUAAAAUAAAUUAUGAUUUAGUUAUUAAGUUCUUAUCAUCUAUUUGGCAUAUAUAGAUGAUUGCCGAGAUGCAUGCUCAUCAGAAGAGAGUGACUGGCCUUGCCUAUUCCAGUGCAUUAAACAUCCUUUUAUCGUCUGGAUAUGAUGCUCAGGUGCAUUUUUAAACUGGAAGGCGUAUAGAAGAUAUCAGAUCCAAAGUCACAUGACGCUAAUAAUCCUUUUGGUGUUGCAGAUCUGUGCUUGGAACAGAUUUGGAUGGACAGUUGUCUAGCCACGCUUGAGGGGCCUAACCUCGAGCCCUGCAAGCAGGUAUCUGCAAAUUAUUUGCAGUGUUUUCAAUUAAUUUAUAUGCUUUGUUAAGUAUCACAACAUGCUUCACCACCCUUUAUUAGACCAUAUUGGAAAGAGGUGAGGGUGAUCAUUUUGGGUGCAACUAUAAUGUGAAUUAAUGAUCAAGCACGGAACAAAUUAAUAAAUAUUAAUUGUGUGUGUACAUAUAUACCCUCAUGAACACAAUCCUAUUCGACAGAACUUGAUAUUGAUUUUUCUAAAAUUGCCCCUGGUGCAAUAUCAUGUCGCUCUGCUACUGAGAUUAACAAGUUUUUAACAACACAAAAAAAUUCUCAAACUCCUUAAGUAUUGUUUGCAGUGGAUUCCCGGGGAAUUGAUCGUCGGCGAUGCUGCAUAUUUAUGUGAUGGCCAGUCCAUAUAUAUUCCUUCCUUUUUAAAAGGCACAUUGUUUUCUUGGACUCGGCAUCAUUUACCCUCUUGACUGGAAGUUGCCUUCUGUAUAUUAUUUCUACAGCCAGGUGAUGUAUGCUUCUACUCUUGCGGAUAAUCCUACAAAACACAAUCAGUUUGCUCUCGGGCUUAGUGAUGGUGGCGUACUAGUUAUAUAUAGAAGAAGAGGAUAUUGGGAUUGCUUUGUAGCAUGCCUUAACUUGAGACCAGCAACAACUGAGAACUUGAUAUGAGCUCUUGUGAUAAUCAUAGCCCAGUGAUUCUUGAAAUCUAUAUGUUUUAAAACAUAAAUCUAGGGAUUGGAUUAGUGCAAGGGUUUUGAAGGUGUUUUCUUACUUGACUAUGUUAAGUGUUAAAUUUUCAAUGCAAAUAUACACCUAUGUGUAGAAAUUGAAAUGAGAAUUGUCAACAGAGUAUGAAAAUAAGAAAAGAAACCAAUAUUUUGGCAUAUACAAUGUUCCACUUACAAAGCAUGUAACUUUCAAUGCAAAUAAACAUGUAGCCACCCAAUUUAAAAAGAGAAUUAAUGUCAACACAACAUAUAUGGAAAUAAUAAAAGAAACCCAAUAUUUUUGCUUGACUAUGUUAACCCAUAAAUUUCAAUGCAAAUAUAUAUGUAGCCACACAAUUUGAAAUGAGAACCUGUCAUCAUAGUAUGAAAAUAUUAAAAUAAUAAAAGAAACCCAAUAUUUUGAUAUGCACAAAGUUUCAAAAAAAAAAUUGUAAUUAGGAGCUAGUAUCCAACUCUUUCAUAUAAAUUCUAGGCCCACUAUCACCCUCAGGUCCAACAUACACAACACCCUUUUAGAUGUAUAAAAAACACCAUCACUUAAUAGGCCUCCAAAUGGAUCAGAUCUGAUCCGAGUCCAUAUUAAAUAUUCAUGAAUUUGUCUCAAAAUAAUUUCAUUGGCAAAUAUAAUGGGUUAUUUAUUGAAUCAAAUAUGGAUUUAGGUCCAUCGACCUGUCUAUGAUCCAACCCCAUCAUUAUAUAUAUAUAUAAAAUAAUAUUAAUAUAAUAUUUAAUACUUAUAUACUCAAUAUGUUAUUUCUCAUCCUAUAUUUGCACGUCUCUUAUCAAAUGGGUUAUUUAUUGAAUCAAAUAUGGAUUCUAUGUCUAAUAUGAGCUUACGUGUUAUUAGUGUCAAUGUAUUUGAUCUCAUUUUUGUAGGUUAUGUAUUACAAUGCUGAUGUGAGCAUAUUUAUUAUUUUAAUUUACACGAGUCAACAUGUUUGACUUUCUCUUUUAUUUAUUUUACCAGGCUCCUCUAAUUUGUCUUUUUAAGUUUAUAUGGUCGGUGCUCCUAAUUACCUAAACAUUAUGGGUGGUAAUGCUAGGAUUUCCAAUGAUAUAAUUUAAAUUCAUUCAAAGAAUUUGUACAAUUUUAUGUAGAUAGCGUAUUUACGUCCUUUAGGUAAUUUGAAAUCCUAAUUAUUGAAGAAAUUUCAGACUGUUAUUUAUAACUUAGUGUUUCUACCUUAUAAAUAUUAGUGUAUUUGUAAGGAUAGUGUUUCUACCUUAUACACAUUAGUGUCAUUUUAAGGAUAAAGAUGGCCACAUAAUUGAUUGUUUAGUAUACUUUUCAAAUGAAAUAUAAUGUUCACAUAAGUUUAGAAUUAUAGUUUUUACUAUUUAUAUAUUUUUUUUGUGGCCUACUUAACUCUUUUGGAUACGAGGCUGCUAAUCAAAUUCCUAAGCUUGUUCCAAAUAUGGAGGUGGUUAUAGGUAUUCAUCUAAAUCUCAACAUUAAUAUUUCAUAAAUUUCUUUGACUAAAAUUUUGUUUGAUGUUAAAUGGAGAACUUUUAAACAAUCCUUGGUAAUCUUUUGGAGAUACCUACAUAUACCGAAUAGGUAAAACACAGAUGGAAAAUUAUCACAAUGGUACCCUAAAGAUCGUUUUUCACAAAUAAGCUUUUAUAUGUUAUCUACUACUAUCGAUCUAUUUUCUUCCCAGGAAAUUUAUUACAAUGCUACUCAAUAGGAUUACUUAUGAGAAUUUUGUUCAUUCUUUAAGGCACGCAAAUAUUGUCAAUGUGCAAUUGUGCAUAUUAUUAUAAUUGCUUCAUAUGAUGAUGUCUCAUUUAUUGCUUGCCCAAAAAGAAUAUAUUGAAGCAACAUAGGUUUAAUUUGUGAUAUUUUGUUUUGUGUAUGUAAAUCACUUACUCCCCCUGUUUUUUUUUAUAUGUCACUUUUGACUUGGGCACGUAUCUUUAGGUGCAUUGACCGGCUAGCAAAAAUUAUUAUUUUUAAUUAAUUUUUUUUUUGAAUUAAAAUUUUGAUUAUAUAUUUUUAUUCAGAAAAAGAAAAUUUCAAAAAUAACACUUUUAACUACCCGGUCAAAGCACUUAAAAGUGUGUGCCAAAAAGUCAAACAUCAUAUAUUAGAAAACAGAGGGAGUAGUAUAUACCGGCCAUUCUUGGAUGUAUCUUUGAUUUACAUGUAAACUUUUGGAGUAAGAAUGUUAUCAUGGCUCAGUUAUUCAUUAUUUCAUUUGAUUGCUAGUAGAACAUUGUAGAUACUAUGUGGUCAGUGUCAUUUUUAUCCUAAUAUUUAAAUGCAAAAUUAAAAUCAUGUGUACAUUAUGAAUAUCACAUUAGGCUAUAGCGCAAAAUAAUUGAAUGACAUAUACAACAUGUGAGCUACUUGCAUAAGAUAGCUAUCAAAGACGACUUUUAUUUGGAACAUACUAGCCGAUUUAUUUCAAUAAGUGAACGCAACUUGUUGGGACAGCCAGCUAUAGAGUUCGGAACAUUACUAAGCUAGAGACCUGAUCUUAAUCAAUAUUCGACAGAAAUUUAUCAAUCCAAUUGCAUAUUUACCUUAACACGCACAUUGUUUUGGUGGCCUCGGCAUCAUUUUCCAUAAACUUUGUUAUCAAUCCGAUUGCAUAUAUAUACCUUCUAAUCAAAGUUACAUGUUAUGUUUACUUCCAAUGUAUCUCGAAAAUGUGAACUUAUAAGCAAUACAACCCUCUUGACGGGAAGUUGCCUUCUAUAUUAUAUCUACAGCCCGGUGAUGUAUGCUUCUAUUCUUGCGGCUAAUCCUACAAAACACAAUCAGUUUGCUCUCGGGCUUGGUGAUGGUGGCGUACUUGUUAAAGAACUUCGGAGGAUAUUGGAAAUGGCUAUGUAGCAUGCCUUAGCAUGAGACGAGCAACAAAUGAAAACUUGAUAUGAGCUUUUGUGAUAAUGAGAGCCGGGUGUCUCUUAAAAUCUAAAUGUUUUAGCACAUACAUGUACAGAUUGGAUUAGUGCAAGGGUUUUAAAGAUGUUUUUUUGCUUGACUACGUUAAUUGAUAAAUUUUCGAUGCGAAUAUAUUUGUAGCCGCACAAUUUGAAAUGAUAAUUGUCAAUAUAGUAUGAAAAUAACAAAAGAAAUCCAAUAUUUUGGCAUAUACAAUAUUUUACUUAUAAAGUGGGUAAUUAGAAGCUAGUAUCCAACCCAUUCAAAUAAAGCACAUGCCCACUAUCACCCUGAGGUCCAACAUACAAACACCCUGGUAGAUGUACGAAAAUCACAAAACACAUUUUAAAUGGACAUGGACUGAUUAGUUUCAAAAAAAUCGGAUCCAACAACAAUAAUCUAAUUAUUAAAUGGACCAUAUAUGGCUAUAGGUCAAUCUGAUCCGUCUAUGAUCGAACCCCAUCAGUAUAUGCAUAUAUAGAAGAAUAUUAAUAUAAUAUUUAAUAAUUAUAUACUCAUUAUGCUUCUCCGGUCUUAUUUAUGUAUGUCACUUAUAAAAAUCAAACAUUUAGAAAAAAUGAUACUGAAAUACUUAUAAUUCUAUUUUUAUAAUAAUAGUUUUGUUUCGACUUAAUUUAGUCAAACUAAUAAUUUUAAUCAACAAUUACAUAUUUUAAAAAACCAUGAAACCUUUUGGUAUAUAUUAUUUAAACGAAUAUUUGACCCAAGGAUAACCUAAAUUUUUUUUAAAAUUGGAUUAUGAAAUUGCAAAACAUAAUUAUUUAAUGGGAUCAAUACUUCCAAUUGACUAAGUAUGAGUCAAGGAUCCAUUGACAUAUAGUUCCAUAUUUAAAAAAAAAUAAAAAGCCAUUUAAGCACAAUAACUGCGUCAAGUGCUAUUUUUACCCAAGACUUUGCUACUCCGGGUCUUAUAAAUCAAAUACAUCAAUCCGCAAUAUUAGUACCCGCUCUCCAAUCCGAGUUGUUAAUAAUGCACGUAAGUGUGAUGAUACUGGGCUAUGCAGCUCUUUUAUGUGGAUCUUUAUUAUCCCUUAUGAAUUUCAAGGUACUCACUUUAAUUAAAAUUAAUAAUUACCGGAUUCUCAUUCGGGGAUAGACUACUCUAUAAUUUCACACUUUUUCUUGGGCAGUUUAUUUGUGAAAAUGUAUGUAUAGCCAAAAAUGGACCACAUCUCAAAUCGGGUCAAGUUCUAAUUGUUAUAAAAUUGUUUCUGUAGUAAUACGAUCCGCUAAGCCUUAUUUGGCCACCCCAGGAGCAACGAUUCAUGGCCAUUAUGGGAAAAUCCUUUACGAAAGAGAUACAUUGAUUACAUUUAUAUAUGAAAAAUUGCGAUCUCGUGAUAUAACACAAGGCCUUCCAAAAGUGGAACAGGUAUUAGAAGUGCGUUCGAUUGAUUCAAUAUCGAUGAAUCUCGAAAAGAGGGUCGAGGGUUGGCAUGAAUGUAUAACAAGAACUCUUGGAAUUCCUUGGGGGUUCUUGAUUGGUGCUGAGCUAACUAUAGUGCAAAUCGCUUUGGUUAAUUAUAAGAUCCAAAAAAAUUUAUCGUUCCCGGGGUGCAGAUCCAUAAUAGACAUAUAGAAAUUAUUGCAUGUACGUCAAAUAAUAUAAAAAUGUUUGGUUUCAGAAGAUGUGAUGUCUAAUGUUUUCUUACCCGAAACAAAGAAAUCAUAUGCAAGAACCAUAGCAUUUCGUCAUUUAUUGGUAAAUCCGCUUUGAUUCUCUAUCAACCGAAAAUGGGGGACCAUUAACAUAAACUACUCCCUCCGUCCCAAAAAGAGUGAGCUGGUUUGACUUUCACGGAGAUUAAGAAAAAGGUAGUAAGUUUAGUUGAAAAGUGGGUAAAGUGGUGGGACCUAUUAAUAUUUAAUAAUAGAUUUGAGAGAGUGGAGGAAAGUAGUGGGUGUAAUAGUGUUUAUUUAAUAAAAAGGGAGUAUAAAAUAGAGAGAUAGUGGGUGUAAUAGUGAAAAGUAGUGUUCAAAAAUAGUAAGUAUGAUAGGUUCAUUCUUUUUGGGACAUCCCAAAAAAGAAUAAGGGUCACAUAAAAUGGGAAAGAGGGAGUAUUGUUAAAGCUAAAUCGCUUGAAGUCCUGAUGCAACAUGUUACUCUAACAUUUAUUGCUUAGUCUAGCUUUUAUGGAAGCUUUAACAAUUUAUGGUCUGGUUGUAGCAUUAACACUUUUAUCUGCGAAUCCUUUUGCUCAAUUUAUAAUGUGAAGUUUAAAAGAAAAUCUUGUAUUCAAAGUAAUUUUGGAUUGAGUAUGAUGAAUAAAAGAUCUUCCUAUGUUAUACUUUUUAACUCGCGACAACGAAUUUAUUUGAUAGCCCACGAAUCCGAUUUGGUUAUUAGUAAAGCUAAAUCAGCGAGGGUACUGCCACGAAAAAAUUAAAACCUCGAGCUCGAGGGUGUAGUUUUACUAUAAAAAGACCUACUUGCCAUAUAGCUAUUAUUGUGAAAUAUAUAUGAUUAGAUGAAUAUCAAUAUCUAGGGGUAGACUUUAUUAUAGACUCUUUCCGAUGCUAAAAAAAACUUAAAUCGAUUGGGAUAAAGUUAUAUAUAUUUUUACAAUUUGACCAAUUUGAAUAUUAAAAUGUGUUCAAUAGUGGCAUAUAGUUAUUAUGAGUCAGAUUUAGCAAAAAAAAAAAAGUUAUUAUGAGUGAGGUAAAUGAGUGCUUCACUCCUUUAGUUAAAUAUAGCACUAUGUAAAAUUAUGUUUUUGUAGGUGAUAGUAAACAUAUAUUUCCUUAUAAUUUGUAUCUUCAAUGGAACUUUCAUUAGGAGAAUUAUUAUGAUAUAAUUUCUUUUUUGAUCUUAUAUAUUCAAUAACAAGUAUACGAUUAUAUGAUCAAUAUUUUCGACAAUUUUGACCAAAUUUACCUCCUAAAUUGCUCGCUAGAGACCGUCCAAUAUAAUUUUAUAGCAGAAUGUUUUGAUUGAUUAUAAUGAACACUUCUAAAAUUAUAUAUUGUUUUGAAUAAAAUCAUUAGGGUAAUCUAAUUUUGAAUACAUCAUCAUAAUAACUUGUAAUAUGUAAAUUUUCCUAGUCUUUAUUGAUCCUAAUGUAUUUGAUCUCAUUCUUGUAUCUAUUAUUUUAAUUCACUCCGGUCAAUAUGGUGCCUUGGUGCUAGUAAUUAACUAAAGAUUGUGGGUGGCAAUGCCAAGAGCAUCUAAUGAUAUUAUUUAAAUUCAUUCUAAAAAUUUGUACAAUCUUAUGUAGGUAGAGUAUUUAGGUCGGUUAGAAAAUUUGAAAUCCUAAUUAUGGAAAAAAAAUUUAGACUUUAAUUUAUACGAUAAGGUUAAUACCUUAUAAAUUACAUUAGUGUAACUUUAAGGAAAGUGUUUCCACCUUAUAGACAUUAGUGUAAUUUAAAAUAUAAGGAAGGCCGCAUAGUUCAUUUUUAGUGUAAUUUACAAAUAAAAGUUCACAUAAAUGUAGAAUUAUAGUUCUUACAUUUUACUCACUUCCCUUUUUAGUUGUCCCAUUUGGAUUUUAGUGUAAUUUACAAAUAAAAGUUCACAUAAAUGUAGAAUUAUAGUUCUUACAUUUUACUCACUUCCCUUUUUAGUUGUCCCAUUUGGAUUUGUGCCGGUAAAAUUGACCAAAGUUUGACUGAAAUUUAUUAAUAUUUUCUCAACUAAUAAAAUUAAAAAUAAAGUCAUCGGAAAUAAUUUUUAAUCUACUUUAAGAUGUAAUUUUUAGUUUUUAAUAUAAUGAAAGAGUGACUUAUAUAUAAUCUUUGGUCAAAAAUUAGUCAAUUUGACCGAUAAAAAAGGAAAUGUGAUCACUAAAAAGAGACGGAGGAAAAGUAAUAUUUUUAAGUGGCGUUACUCUAUAUCUACUAUAUGUAUUAUAAAAGUUAUUUAAUCAUGAGAAAAUUCUUUCAGUUUAAAAAGACUAUCUAACCCUUUUCAACACUGCUCGAGCGAAAGCAGAAUUUUUUAUUUAAAAUGACUGCUUUAUCCUUCAGGAGCUGAUUCGAACCUGGUUCCUAACCUUGGCUUUCAGAAGCAAUGUUCCACGCCCACACUGAAGCACCCGGUUCAUGCUCGACUCCUUCAGUCUUCCACGCCCACACUGAAGCACUGCAUUACUGCANAAUAUAAUGAAAGAGUGACUUAUAUAUAAUCUUUGGUCAAAAAUUAGUCAAUUUGACCGAUAAAAAAGGAAAUGUGAUCACUAAAAAGAGACGGAGGAAAAGUAAUAUUUUUAAGUGGCGUUACUCUAUAUCUACUAUAUGUAUUAUAAAAGUUAUUUAAUCAUGAGAAAAUUCUUUCAGUUUAAAAAGACUAUCUAACCCUUUUCAACACUGCUCGAGCGAAAGCAGAAUUUUUUAUUUAAAAUGACUGCUUUAUCCUUCAGGAGCUGAUUCGAACCUGGUUCCUAACCUUGGCUUUCAGAAGCAAUGUUCCACGCCCACACUGAAGCACCCGGUUCAUGCUCGACUCCUUCAGUCUUCCACGCCCACACUGAAGCACUGAUUCCACGAUGAUUAAGAGAAGUGAAUUUAUCUGAUUAACAAGUUUAUGUAUCUAGCUAUCUGAUUGUUUUAGAUCUGUUAAUUCUUCAUUUUGUGUGCUUUUUCUGUUUAUAUGUUCUGUUGUCGUCCCUAGAUGUUUGGAUUUUUGUUGUUUUUUUGGGUGAAUUAGGGUUUCGUGUGAUAUGAAUGUGUUGUUUUUGUUCAUACGUUUGGUUGAUUUGUGCUUGUGCUUUAUUCGUGUUCUAAAUGUUAAUUUGAGAACCAAAUGAAUUAAGAAUUGAAAACCUUUAGGUUUGUAUAGUUGUAACUGGUGAUUGGGAUGCAAUUCAGUAUUGAUAUGUAUUUGAAACGAAUUACUGAUAUGCAUCUGAGCAAAGAGUCGGGAGUGGUUGAUAUAAAUUUGUGUUCAACCUUUUCAGGUGAUCAGUAACAAGAAGUUACCCAAAUGAGGAUUCAUUAGACAAAUCCAUGGAGGUGAUAUUCAUUCCGAAUCUCGUCAUUUACGGCCAAUAUUAUAAAAUCCUGUGUCACUCGUUUCCUGCACAGUUGUAUCUUAACUAGAAUCAGUUUGUGUUAAUCAUGUUAAAUUGAAACCUUUUUCAGAGUGAUAGAAGAAUAUGUGGCAGAUUGAUUUGUUCUGUAGCCAAAGAAUCUCCACAGCAAGUCGAAGAAACGACCAUGGACAUGCGAAAGUAAUUUUUCUGAAAGACUACAAGUCACCUGAUUAUUGUUUUGGCACUGUAACAUACCUUAGCUCCUCAUCUGCAAUAUCUAAACUGCUUGAACAUACAAUUUGUGAUUAGCUUCCAUAUUCGAUAAAUGAAAUUACUUGAGUUGAUGCAUAUGCAUGCCAGUUUAUGCUCAAGUGGAUCUUAAAUUUACACUAGGUGAGGAACAAACAGUUGGCUGCUCCAACCACAGUGUUUAUUCGAGAUUCGAAGGUAUCACCAACAACUAAUUCUUCUUCAGUAUUUGGAUAUUCUCAGAUUAUCUGGCUUGUCACAAUCAAGAGUUUGCUAUAACGAGUAAGUAUUAAUACUGAGAUAUGCCAAUCGAAGAACACGACAUUAGAUGUUUGUUACUUUAUUCCCUCUCCUCAAGUCUUUGCAUAUGCUUUCUAUAUAUGAAUCUUCUUCUGUUAUUAUGUUUUUUGUCUUUUGACAAUAUUAGUUCUGAAUAUUUGAUGCAGGGUCUUUACCGGUCACUAGAAAUUUCUUCACACAAUGUGAAACAGCGGAUUUUUGGAAAAUCCUAAUUGUCGUAGUAUAUAUGAUGUAAAAACUUUUCAAUAUCAUGAGCCUGAUCAAGUGCCCCUAAUUUCAAUGAUCCAGUGAUACACUCUGGUAUCUCUGCUCCUUAUUUUAUCCGGCCUUUAAUAUAGGAAUUUCAUUGGGUUACUGAUUCUGCAAAUAUUGAAGAUAGACUUUCCAAAGCAAUAGUGUCAUUUGACAUUGAAGAUGAACAAUUCAAUUCUUAUUUACAUGGAUGGAUUCUCCUAAAAUUCCUCUUGAAGAGCGAGUGAUUAUCGAUACAUUAAAUGACUCACUUUCAUUGGUUGUUCCUCGCAAAAGUUUUCUAAACUCAAGCUUUUAUAUAUGGGUGAUGGAUGACUACGGGAAAUAGGUAUCUUGGACUAGGCAGUCCAUCACCCAUAUAUAAAAGCUUGAGUUUGGAAAACUUGUGUGAGGAAUAAUCAGUGAAAGUGAGUCAUUUAAUGUAUCCAUAAUCACGGGCUCUUCAAGAGGAAUUUUAAAAAGAUCUAGCCAUGAAAGAAAUUUGAAUUGUUCAUCUUCAAUGUCAAAUGACACUACUGCUUUGGAAAGUCUAUCUUCAAUAAUGCCUAUUUUAAAGGUCGGAUGAAAUAAGGAGCAGAGAUACCAAAAAGUAUCACUGGAUCAUUGAAAUGAGGGGCACUUGAUCACGCUCAUGACAUGGAAGAGUUGUUACAUCAUCAUGUGCACUACGACAGUUAGGAUAUUGGACAAAUGAUCUUCCUAUAGUGACAACAUAUGAGAGCGAUUUUUUUUAUGACCCUAAAAUCCAAGAACAGAAGAACACUCCAGUUUUUUGUAUUUCACAACAUUCUGCAUUUAUGUUGAAACUUUGGAAACAGUCACCUGGGAUAUUGAAUAUGCAGGAAGGGCUGUUCAGUGAUGUAAUUCCCCACCCUUGCAUAGUAUAUCUAUUAACACUGCAUGACCUAAUAUCUGAAGCAUUGUUGAAGAAUAAUAAAUUAUAACAUCCGGUUAAAAGUAUGAAAGGAAAUAUCUCCCUAAUAGUUUUAAAAUGUUACCCGC